rnacentral:lncRNA from 1 species
UUUUUUUUUUUUUUUUCUAAAUUCCAAUAAAAACAAAAUGGAAAUGAUAAAAAAAUUUAUUUAAAUACUUUUUUAAAAAAUAUUUUUAUCUACAGAAAAGGCAAGUAUUAAAAAAUGGGGUCAAAUGAAACCAAAACCUUAUCAAUGAAGUUGAUUAGGAAAGCUCCAAUUGUGGCCGACUUGACUUCAGCACCUUUUCGAGCUGGACAGUACAAGUUUUCCAUACCUAAAACCAUCACUGCUUUAAACAGACCAAAUUCAUUGUUCCUCUAAAGCAGGUUGCAUAAUUGCUGAAAUUUUCAUUACUUCUUUCACUCCAAAACUUUUUUAUGCUUUGAUGGAGUGUCCAAAAAUAGAAAAACAAAGAAAAUUAAAAGAAAAAAAUUUUUUGGACACUUUCAAAAAUUAGAAAAUAAAAAAUUUACAAGAAAAUUUUUUCUUUAAAAUUUGUAUUAUGAAUAUCAUCUUCGUUGAUAAAAUUAAUAAAUUCAUUGAUAAUAUUAUAUAUAUUUAUAUAUUAUAAGUGGACACUUACGAAAAAAAUUCUGAGUUCAUCAUAAUACAAUGCUAUUUGAUCCAAUGAAGUAAGAAUCCAGAUAAGAAAUAAUUAGAAUUGAAUAACACAAAAAUUAAUCAACAAUCCUAACAUAAAUUGAUUUGAUUUAAAGCUUCAUUUAGUAGAGCAGUUGAAAAAGAGUAAAGCUUAAAAAAAAAAAUUAGUAAUUUAAUGAUAAAACUACAAAAUAAAAAAAUAUAUAAAUUUAAACUAUUGAAUUAAUAAAUUUUCCGUACUUUUUCACAAACAAAGCCUAUGGUUAACAACUUAAUCUAAAAUGAUAUAAUCCCACAUUGAAACCGUGUGAAUUUCUUUCCCUCCCGGACCAAUCUGCCAAAUUAUCUCUUUUUCAUUUUCUAUCUGAUUGGACCAGUCCGGCCACCAAAAUUAGCCCAAUUAGCAUUUCCAAUUUUACUGGAUUUGGCCCAUUGUCUGUCAAGAGCCCAGGUUGUUGUGUACUGGAUCUGGCCUAUUCUCUGGUUCUUCUCCUCCUAAGCCCAUACAAAAUGCAAUCCCGGGUGAUAGUGAAGAUGCUGCUUUGUUGAAGUCGAAAUUGAUUUGCAAUUCUGAAAAUAAACUCAAUCAAAUCGAAAUCAUAGAGAGACCAAAUCCAUACCCUCCAAAAAACUCUAUCUUCCGAAUACCGAAUAACGACGAUGCCCGUUUUCAAAACCCCGUUCAACGGCUACUCCGUCCGGUUCUCCCCCUUUUACGAGUCUCGUUUAGCCGUAGCAACCGCCCAAAACUUCGGCAUAUUAGGCAACGGCCGUGUCCACGUCAUUGAUCUCUCCCCAACCUCCCCAACCAUCAACGAGCUAAUCGCCUACGACACCGCCGAUGGAGUCUACGACGUAGCGUGGUCCGAAUCGCACGACUCCGUCCUCGUUGCUGCCAUCGCUGACGGUUCUGUCAAAGUCUACGACACCGCCCUCCCUCCUCAGUCCAACCCUCUUCGCUCCUUCAAAGAACACGCCCGUGAAGUCCAUGGUCUCGAUUACAACCCCACGCGGCGCGACUCGUUCCUCUCCGCUUCCUGGGACGAUUCCGUCAAGCUCUGGACCCUUGACCGCCCCGCUUCCCUCCGCACUUUUCGGGAACACGCGUAUUGCGUGUAUUCCGUCGCGUGGAACCCCAAACACGCCGACAUUUUUGCCUCGGCUUCCGGUGACUGUACGGUAAGAAUCUGGGACGUUAGGGAACCCGGUUCAACGAUGAUAAUCCCGGGUCACGAACACGAAAUCUUGUCAUGUGAUUGGAAUAAAUAUGAUGAUUGUUUGAUUGCUAGUGCAAGUGUAGAUAAGAGUAUUAGAAUUUGGGAUGUCAGGAAUUAUAGGGUGCCGUUAUCGGUUCUUAACGGUCAUGGAUAUGCUAUUAGGAAAAUUAAGUUUUCGCCGCAUAAAAGGAAUUUGAUUGUCUCUUGUUCGUAUGAUAUGACGGUUUGUUUGUGGGAUUUUAUGGUGGAAGAUGCUCUUGUUGGAAGGCAUGAUCAUCAUACAGAGUUCGUGGUUGGGGUGGAUCUCAGUGUGCUUGUUGAUGGACUCAUGGCCAGUACUGGCUGGGACGAGCUUGUUUACGUUUGGCAGCAGGGGAUGGACCCUAGAGCGGUUUAAAAAGGGAAGUCUUUACACUUCUUUUUCUUUUCUGUAUGGUUUUUGUAUAAUUCAUUGUUGUAAUUUGAAUGAAUACUGGAAUGGUUUUGGCUAGAAACUGAUGAAUGAAUGAUAUGCUUGGAAGGGGAUUGGUAAUGGGGGCAUGAUGCUGUUGUUCUAGUUAAUUGUAAUUUGGUAUAGCUAUGGUAUGCCUUUGUACAAUUGCAUUGUGUUCUUGAUGAAUAAGUAAUCCUAAUUGUAUUUGAUAUUGAUCCCCUGUUUAUCAAUUCUAAUAAAGCAAAGGAGUUACACAUUUUUUUGGUUUUUCUUCUCCGUUUACUACUAUAUGCUUGAUAUGUACUCCAUGUCCAAGGGCUUGCAAGUUGCAAUGCUUUCUCUCAUUGCAUGUAUUUCUCACGUAUGGUAGAGUGUUUCAUAUCAUGGCUGCAGAUGGAGAGUCCUCUGUACAAACUCUACUACCAUAUCUAAAUAAGCAUUUGAUAACUCUGCUGUUGUGACUGAGUCGUUUAUAAGCUAGCUGACUUUGAGACUUAAGAGUGCUGAUAGUACAUAUUUUACACUGAAAUUCUUCUUACCUAGAGUCAAUUGGGGGAGGGGGUAUGUGCAUUGAAAUUAUAGCAUAGCUCACCCUUAGAAAUUCAAUGAAAAGCUAUUACUACUAGGGAUGACUUGGUGGUACUGGUAAGGGUUUCCAAGAUUCCCAGAUCAGAGGUUUGUAGUUUUAAGUUUUAAGAUCUGUUCUCGUGGAUAUUAGUUAAGACAUCAGGGGGCAUUAUGUUAAAUUCUAAUCUUGUUGAUUAUAAUGAAAUUAACAUAGUGGAGACAUUGCGUUAUCAUGGUUUAACCACCCUCAAAAGCUAUUUUCUUUGUUUCCCUUAAAUAGUCUGAGGUUUUUGUGGCUAAUCAAACUGCAGCAUCACAUCUUGUAUUCAAUUGUGUCUAUAGUAUUUGAAAAUUGAUUUUGUGUAUACUUGCACUAUUUAACAUUGUUGGAAAAUUUUGAGAAGCAAGGACUGGAGUGUUAUUCAAUUUUCGUCCUUUGUGUAUACUUGCGCUAAAGUAUGAUUGAUUCUUUUUCCAUUGAAGAAUGAAUCUUUUUCAGAUACUAUUUGAGAAGGUUUUGUUACAAGUACCACAUAGCACAACGAUGGACUGUUCCUGUUUUUAAGAAAGCGAUUUUUGGACAAUCAAUUUGCUAUGAAACUAUCAGACAUAUGUCCUAGAAAUUGCUUCUCUGAUAGAAGGUGUGCGAAAAUCUAUUACUGAAAAAAUCCGAAAGUUAAUCGAAUUGAUUGUGGCAAACAUGAAAGUUCGAUCUGAUUAUUGAUUAAUAUUUUAUUAACAGAUCACUUAGUAAUUUUUUAAUCUUUUAUGCCAACUCCAGGACAAUGGCUGUAGUUACUUCAAAAUAAAGAAGUGGGGAAAACCUUUGUUAAAUUCCUAGUGUUGAAGUACGUUAAUUGUUCAAUUUCCUAUAUCAAAAUAAAAUAUUUUAUAUUUUCAACAGAAUUAUGUAUUUCAAGAUUACUUGUGGUACAAAAUUACGAUAAAAUUCGAUACGAAAUAACUUAAACGAAUAAACUUAUUAAUCGAAUAAGCUUUUUUAUUUGGUAAAUUCAUUUAUGUAAGUUUGCUUUUGCCUCUCGCGAGUGUUGCUAAGCUGACGCAAACCUUUUAUUGUCCUUAUGCCUUAUUGCAAUGUUGGACUGUUCACAACCACAAAAUUCAACCAUCCAACACAUUGCGCACCACCUCCAAUUUGGAACAAACUUGGGACAGAAUUCAGGGCGUGAGCGUCACAUGAGAGAAAAAUAAAACAUAUAUGCAGACAAUUAAUGCUAAAACAAACUUAAACGACAUAAUCCGAUAAAAGCCAAGGUUUCUAAAAGAAAAUAUCUCCAACCCUUCAAAGUUUACUAAAUUUAGAAAUUAGCAAUACAUUCUUCGAUCAACCCAUAUCCUUUUUUAUUAGAUCAGCAAUUCAGAAAGCUGUGCUUUGAAAUGCUAUAUAAUGGAAGAAGAAGAGUAUUUCGACGCCACCCCAAGCCAGAAGCAAUGAAAAUCCAAUACCAUACCCUUAACCUAUCACCAAACCAAUGUGUUUCAAGCCUAACUCAAACCAUCGAUGCACCACUUCCUCUAUUAUGGUCCAUAAUCCGCCGCUUCGACAACCCACAAGCCUACAAGCAAUUCGUGAAGAGUUGCACUUUGAGUGUCGGCAACGGUGGCAUCGGUAGCAUACGUGAAGUGAUGGUUGUGUCAGGGUUGCCGGCGGCCACGAGCAGGAAGAGGCUAGCUGAAUUUGAUGAUGACUUGCAUGUUAUGAUAGUUAGCAUUAUCGGAGGUGAUCAUCGGCUUGUUAAUUACCGUUCUACUACUACUUUGCAUGAAAUAAGUGAAGAAGGAAAUGAUGGGAAAACGGUGGUUGUAGAGUCGUACGUGGUGGAUGUUCCAGCGGGGAAUAGCAAGGAGGAUACCUGCUCUUUUGCUGAUAUGAUAAUCGGGUGCAACCUUAGAUCAUUAGCUAGGGCAACGGAAAAGAUGGCCAAGGUUUAGCAAUUUACCUAUGCUAUUUCAAAUUUAUGCCCCCCCUCCAUUUAAGUAUAUAUAUAUAUAUAUAUAUAUUGUAGGAGAUAAAGAUCACAAACCAGUAUCCCAAAACGGGUUUUUGUUCACCCCAAACUUGAUCUAAUUUUAUAUAAUAAAUAUUUGAAGUCGAACUUAACUUAAUAUUAAAAUUUUAUUUUUAUAUCCAAUUUAACUCAGACAUAUGCAUAAAACCGUAACUUAGGAUCAUUCUAAUAAAUUUUUAGUGGCAAUAGAUUUUUAUGAUUGGCCAUUUAAGAGUCCAAUAGGCCUCAUUGGGCCAAAUUGGAGAAGUCCCAAUGCGACUUAAGGGCCCACUUUGAUACUAUGAUAAGAUUGUUUUGAUUGUCCUUUUUGUCAUCUCCACCUCUCUCAACGAGCCAGUUUCAUAAAAGUGUCCAAAUAGAGGCCUAGUUGUGGAGACAUUGGGCUUGCUCAUAGCACCCAAUUGACAAACAAAAUACCCACCCCAACAACUGUAAGACGUGUUUAAAAACAAGUGGUUGGAAAGGCAGAGAGAGCAACAAUAACAAAUUACAGCUCAAACCUAACCUUCUUUGCAAGGCAAAAGACUAGUAGGUAGCAGAUGAUCAAACAAUUAAGAGCUUAUGCACAUAUCAAUCUAUAUUAUAUAUUGAAAAAAUCAUUGGAACAAAAGAUUUAAUAGAUACAAGAAACUGCUAACAAAACCCCAUGUGAUUAAUGGAUGAAUAAUCUAUUAUUUUUAGAAAUAUCUUCAUUGUUAAUAAUUGUCACCUUCUUGAUUUAGUAAGAUCAGUGUUAACGUGGGGCUGAUUGCGAUGAGGUAGUUCCAACACACCGCUCCACGCACCCAAAACAGCACUUGAAUUAGCUUCUUGAUAAUAUCUUUUGGGAUCGUCUCGUUUUGUAGGGUUGUCCAUCAUUUCUUCUUUAUCAUUAAAUGCAUUGAUGUACACAAUAUCAAAGGGAUGACAAAUAUCGGUGACCCUGGUGAGCUCUUCAAGCAUUCAUGUCCCCAAUAUUAAUGUGAUAAGAGACAGAUUAAAUGGUAAAUAUAGUCCAUCCACACCCAGUUUUUCGUAAAAAGUUGACCGUUAGGUUUACCUCCAGCUACUACCAUUACUGACAAGUCAAGAGUUCUGAGACGGUAGCCAACCACCAAAAUAAUUUGGUAUAACACAAGAAAAAGCCUACAUGAAACUAACUACUACAACAAAUUAUUCAACACAACAGUCCCUCUGUUUCUUCAAAAUAUUUUCCACAUGCCCUAAUUUUUUUUUUUUUCUAAUCCUUUGGACACGUCAAAUGUUAUUUCGGCCUCUUUGAAACAAGAGCAAUGUUCUUGAGCUGACUGGUAGGCAUGGCAUAUGUUUAGCAAGUAUUUAUUGCACCUUACAUACAAUACAAUGUAGAUUUGGAUUAGACAUCACUAGGCAACCCAGUAGAGAAAAUGGGUUUCCAGAGAAGCGUAUUGGCUUUCGUUAUCUUAAUUUUGGCUUCACUAAAAUGCCUCUCUUCUAGCCCUCCUAGUGAAUACUCCAUGGUGGAACAUGAACUUAAUGCAUUUCUUUCCGAGGAACGGGUGGUGGAGAUGUUUCAACAAUGGAAAGAAAAGCAUGGGAAAAUAUACCAGCAUGCUGAGGAGGCGGAAAAAAGGUUUGAAAAUUUUAAGAGGAAUUUGAAGUAUAUACUCGAGAGGAAUGAAAAGAGAAAAUCAGCCAAGGGGGAACAUCGUGUGGGAUUGAACAAGUUUGCUGAUAUGAGCAAUGAGGAGUUCAGAAAAGCUUACUUGUCAAAUGUGAAAAGGCCCUUCAACAAGAGGAGCACUCUCUCAAGGAACAUAGGGAGAAAGGUGAAGUCUUGCGAUCCACCAUCAUCCUUAGAUUGGAGGAACUAUGGCAUUGUGACUGGCGUCAAGGACCAGGGAUCCUGUGGUAAGUUUUCUUUUAUUUGGUUCAUAAUCGAGUAACGCUUUAGAUUCAGGGUUUUGUUUUCAAUAUAUACAGAGUAUGCCUAUCAUUGUCUUUGUUUGUGACACUUUCUGGCUAGUUGGUGCCUGUUAGGCCACUUUGACAAAAACAUGUCAUGAUUAACAAGCGAAGCAAUACACAGAUUUUUUUAUACCCAAUUCGUUAAUUUGGAUAUUAGUCAUCAAUAAGAAAGGUGAUAUUGAAAAAGAUGGUCAGACGCUAGGGACCAGGACAAAGUUUUAUUUUAUGCCUGUCUUCGGUAUACCAUAGGAGCUGCUUUUCCUAGACUUGCCUCUUUACUCAUUGGUGAAUCGACGAGACUGUUAUCACUAGAGGCAUGAGCCUAGCAUUUAAAUUCAACAUUUAUUUAAUGUGAUAAAGAAACCAUGUUGAGAAAUUUACCUGGGAAGAAAACUGGCCCAUGAUACUCUGUGUAUAUAUAUCUUCUGUUAAGUUCCCAUCUUCCUUAGUGAUAAGAAACCAUGUUGAGAAAUUUACCUGGGAAGAAAACUGGCCCGUUGACUUCUAGUCUCUAGACCGCUCUUUGCUUGCAAUUCCAAAGUUUUCUGCAGUACUGAAUAUCUAUAAAUGAAUGCCAGGAAAGAACUAGAGAAGUUAAGUUUUUAGCUGAUUAUCACCCUAUGACAUGUAUUCAUAUUAGAAAAUCCAAAUACUCAAGUAUAUAAUAGGUCCCUGGAAGAGCCAAAUCCUUUCAAGGCUUUGCAGAAAACUAAUCCGAGCAGGUUUGAAGAUAAUAAUCGGGUCAAAUAGGUCUUUGAACAUUUUUUUAGGUGGUCACUGCCAGAUUAUACUAGAAAUUUCUUCUAAAGCAUAACCAUGUUUGCUCACAAUAGCAGAGGAAAAGCUAUGAUGGUAUUAAAAGAUAAUAUCUUAACUGUACCUGUGUCCUAUUUUUACAGGAAGUUGUUGGGCAUUCUCUUCAACCGGAGCCAUGGAAGGAAUAAAUGCCUUAGUUACUGGAGACCUUGUCAGCCUUUCAGAACAAGAACUUGUGGAUUGUGAUAGCACUAACUAUGGUUGUGACGGAGGAUACAUGGACUAUGCUUUCGAAUGGGUUAUAAACAAUGGUGGUAUCGAUACAGAAACUGACUAUCCCUACAAAGGCGUGGAUGGAACAUGCAACAUCACCAAGGUCUGGUUCCUCUCACAUACUAACACUCCUGGAUCAUAUUUCAUUUGAAUUGCAAUUAAUUGUUUAACAAGUUCUUCCUUUCUGUCUCCUAUGACUGAUUCAAUGUACUCGUCUUUGAUCAGGAGGAAACCAAAGUCGUAUCUAUUGAUGGCUAUCAAGAUGUAGAGGAAUCAGACAGUGCUCUCUUAUGUGCUGUUGCUCAGCAACCAGUUAGUGUGGGAAUUGAUGCUUCCUCAAUUGCUUUUCAACUUUACACUGGAGUAAGCAUUUUUUUUUGUUCAGUAAUUAAACGAAGAAUGUGGAAAAUGAUAUUCUGACUAAUGAAAUUUGUGACAUGCAUAUCAGGGAAUUUACAAUGGUAGCUGCUCGGAUAAUCCAGAUGACAUUGAUCAUGCCGUUUUAAUAGUUGGUUAUGGCUCAGAAGACGAUGAAGAUUAUUGGAUAGUGAAGAAUUCAUGGGGAACAAGUUGGGGAAUGGAUGGAUAUUUCUAUCUAAAAAGAAACACUGAUUUACCAUAUGGUGUUUGCGCUGUCAAUGCCAUGGCCUCGUAUCCAACUAAAGAAUCCUCUUCACCAUCGCCCUAUCCAUCACCAAGUGCUCCUCCACCACCACCGCCACCACCUUCAACUCCACCACCCCCACCUCCAUCUCCUUCACCAAGUGAUUGUGGAGACUUUUCCUAUUGUCCAAGUGAUGAGACAUGCUGUUGCCUUUCUGAAUUCUAUGAUUAUUGCCUAGUAUACGGCUGCUGUGCAUAUGAAAAUGCCGUUUGCUGCACUGGAACCGAAUACUGCUGCCCUAGUGAUUACCCCAUUUGUGAUGUCCAAGAAGGACUCUGCCUCAAGGUACGAAAAACUAUGCCCAAAUAUCUAAAUAGGACAUGCAUUUGGCAUAAACUUAAAAUUUAUUAGUUUUAGUCUAAUAAGUUGCGGGACAUUGGUCCUAUGUCUGGUGAAUCUUUUAACUUUAUUAGCCUUUGUAGCCAAAUACUUCUAUGGUUCCAUUCAAUUCAUUGUAAGCAACUCUUUUCUGCAUUUAUUUUCAGAACGCUGGAGACUAUCUUGGAGUAGCAGCUAGGAAGCGAAAGAUGGCUAAGCACAAGUUGCCAUGGACUAAAAUAGAGCAAACAGAGAAGGCAUACCAAUCUCUGCUGUGGAAAAGGAACCCUUUUGCUGCAAUGCGCUGAAAAAAAAAAAAUACUUAUCAUCUAUCAGAAGUUGAAGUUUGUUUUUACUUGUCAUUUUUAUUGGGAGCUGAACAUAUGCCAGCAAGCAAAUCCGGGAAUAGAAGAUAAAAAGGGGAAAUUUUGUUUGCUUUAAAUACCUGAUAAUUAUUAAAUCAAAUUGCUAUGCAACUUAUGAAUUAGUAAUAAGCAAUUCUGAUGCAUGAUUUUAUGUAUUUUUUGUUCAAGUAGUGAAUUUGAAACCCUUGCCUCAAAAUAAAAAGAAAAAAAUAAUCCUAAUAUAUGUGAAAAAAAUAAACCAUCAAGUUUGGCUAACUUUUUUAAAAAAUUUUGUAAGUCAAUGGACCUUAAUGUCCAUCCUCUCCGUAGUUUAAUCUGCAUAGUCCUGGAUUCAGACAAGCCCAAAGAUGGGCAGAUUAUCAAACCAUGUAUCAUUGAGUUUUCAGGCAUUCAAUUUUGGGCUUUACCUUUCUCUUCCCUUGUUAUCAUUAUCAACACGAAAUAAUAGUUGUAGGAGGGAGACAGGACAAGCAAAAGUGCGGUUCAGAGUCCAAAAUGCAACCCCCCCCCCCCCCAUGUGCAGCUGGUGCAGCAUGGAUGGGCUUUACUGGCCUGGCGUGCGACUAAGGGUAUUGGGUGUUGGUGGUGGGGGCACGAUUUCUCAUCCUUUUACCAGAUAAAGUUUUAGGUAAGAGCAUUCCCCGUGGACCAUGUUCCAUGGAAAAUGAUUUUUAGUUAGGUUUUGAGUUUUGACUAAAGUUUAAUGACCAAACUAUAAUAUAAGAGCAUUUUUCUCUCUUUUUUGCUAACAAAAUUUACUAGAAAAUUAGAAUAUCUAAGUUAUCUAACAGCUUCUUCUAACUACCUCUCUUGCACAAAAACCUAAGUUACAUGACUUGAUAUCACUGUAAAGUAAGACAAGACCCAAGUCUUGAAUCUUGAUAUAUAAAUGCGGACCAGCAAUAAAAGUGUUAAACCCUCUUCAAAACCAUUUAAAAUUUGGCUUUAUCUGUUGAUGGAAGUGGGACAAGAAACUCACGAGAUCAUUUCAAAAAUUUUUAAAAUACCCCAUGUGUGAGCAGAAAUUCCCACUGAUAAAUUCUCUCAACACAUGAUUUGGGCUAUGGAAUAUGGAUUCGUCUCUUAUAGCAUAUACAGAUACUGUCAAGAUUGGCAGACACCAAAUCUUAAGAGAGUGAUCUCUGAUAGACAAUAUAAUGGGUUAAAGAAUGAGCAGCACAUGUUUUGGAGCCGCCGAUUAAGGAAAAUUAUAGAAUAUAUUGAGACAAAGCCACUAAAAGCUCAGCCAUUUUUCUAUACCUUAAUCAUCUGAAAAACUUGAAGACAAAGUGCUUUGCCAGAGUGUAUAUAUAUAUAUUUGUGUUAUAGCAUAUCUUAUCCAUUACCAACCAUAUGGUUGAAAAAAAGAAAGAGAACAAGCUAGUGCUUAGUGGGGGAACCAAUCACGUUAUUGAAGAAAAAAGGUCAUUAUGAUGAGACAGGGACUUGAAAAUAUAUAGGUAUAACACUUUGUUGGAGUUGUGUGUGUGUCUAUCUUUACAUGAAUGGUGAAGAAGGCAGCGAAACCUGGCUUGAAAUCAUAAUACCAGUCUUGGAAAUUAAAUUAUGGACAAUGACUGAUUAAUGCUGCGUCGACAGAGAUUGAGUCUCACAGCUCUAAACUCCAAUCCCCACAUCAAAAUAACCCAAUUGGACUACUAGUCGCAGUAGAUUAAUAGUAUUAAAAAGGAUCAUUGGCUUAACAACCAUGACAUUUCCUCCCCCAACUGUAUGCUCGUGACCUCCGGUCGCACCUCCUUCACUCUUCAAUUAUGACAAAUCCCAAUCAGAGAGCCUUUACCUUUGCUUUUGCUUUUUGCCUUUCUUUCUCUUUUGUCUUAGUAGUUAGUUAGUGAGUACCCCUCACAACAAGUUUUCAUCAUCGUUUUCUUCCCUUAAAUUCUAGCAUACAGCCACUUUGAUCAUUUAACUCUUUUCCCAAAUGUUUCUAUUGUUGAAUGGAUUUUUCGAAAUUUAUAACUCCUUUUCUUUUACCCGGCUUGAUAGUCAUGAUUCGUGCUAAAGGCUAUACCUAUAUGUAAUAACAAAAUAUUGUAAAAAAUAAUGAAAAAAAAAAACAAGGCGCGUGAUUCAAACGCGACAUGCAGUUAUAGGCCAAAGCCAGAAGUCUUUAGCUGUGUCUAACACUACUCGAUCUCUGUCUUUGAAGUCUCAAAUUCAUAUUACAUGGAAGGGAAGCUAAUGAAAAGAAAAGCGUAACAGUGUCCAACCUCUCUCUUUCUCUCUCCCUUCUUAGCUUUUCUUAAUACUCACUCAUUCUCUAAACUCUUACCAUCAUUUUAGGACACCCCAAAGCCCUAAACAUCAAAGAACUCACCCAUUUCUCCCUUACUCAGCAGGUGUGUCUUCUGUUCUUUUGUUUCAGAUAAUGUUCUUUUUGAUGCAAAAACUACUUCUUCAAGAAAUGUUUAUGUUGUUUAUAGGUUGAAAGGAACACUGGGUUUAUGCUAAAGUUAAAGAUUCUUUGUUUAUUUUUUCUUUUACUUUUUGUCCUAACAAUCUUGAAAAAGAGAUGAAUUUUGGGCCCUGGUGUUAGUUUAGAGAUGUAGUGCACUAUGUAUUGGCUGUUGGUAAGAUCCAACAAUUUAUGACUAUCUUUAAGGUUUUACCAUUUCUUCAUCAGGUUUGUUAUCUUUUUUAACUAGAACUUACUUCUUUUGGUGAUGCCAAUAAUCAGUAUGGCAGAGUAGAUAAAAUUUAGAUGAUGUAAUCAACGCGGUUUUCAUUUCAUUUUUCAUAGCCUGAAUUUAAUGUCGGUGUCCACCUAUCUUAAAUGGAAUUCAACACAAAUCUUUGCCUGGUUGCUGGGGAGAUAUAUAAGAAUUCUGUAUGUACUUCUAGUUUUGAUUUACUAUAGGGUGGUUGACUGAGAUUUUUUUUUGAUUGUCAGAUCACAGAUAAUGUCAAAUUUGGUACUUCCAAAAUUUAAAUGUUCAAUUACAUUUAUGUGGCACUGAGGGGAGCAUCAAUGUUUGUAUUUUUUUUUUUCUUUCUUCUUUUCCAUAAUCUAUUAUCUGAGAGCACUGAAGGUUUUCAAGCUCAAGUAUUUUUAUAUAAUUACUCAAUAUUUGGUCACAGAGCUUAAACAUUUUGAAAUUCAUGCGUUUUGCUGUAUUUUGUCAUGUUUAGCUUGUUUAAGCUGAGAUUAGGGAGAUAUAAAGUAUAUUGGGUGCUCAUUGCAGUUAGUAUAGGUUCUUCAAAUAAAUAGUCUCAGCAUAUUUUCAGGUGUUUUGCCAGAAUUUUCACAUGGAGUCUUUACCAUGGUGUUCUCAUGCAACAUCUAUCAUCAGCUAUGUCAUGUUUUGAAUUUCUGAAUUAUAUCAAGAAGGAAAGUUGCAGAACUUCUUAAUUGUAAAGCGUGAUGGAGGAAAGGAAAUUAAAUUUCAGUGCACCACUGUUAUCUGUGAGGCGGUUUUCUGAAACAUCUGCCUUUUCAGAUAGAGAUAAGCAGAAGAUAAUUGAGAAUUCUCCUCCCACUACACGACAAAGUCUCCCCUUCUGUAACUCGGAUGUGAGUUUGGAUCAGGUGACAGAACCUGUUGCAGUUCCUUUUGUAUGGGAGCAGAUCCCUGGGAAAGUGAAAGGUGGCAUUGAGAAUGAGUUUCAGGCUAAUAAGGGAGCUUCUGGUACUCCUAGGCUUCCGCCAGGGAGUUUGGAUGUCAUAACAUAUCCUGUGGGGAAAUACUUUGACUAUCAGAAUGUGGUUAGGCUCCAAACUGAAACAAAUUCUAUGGAAGAUCAUGUGACUAAAUUAGACAGUUCAAACGAGGGAAUGAAUGAGAAAUGCAUCUCAGAGUCUGAGAAUGAUGAUGAUGUUUAUUCUGAUGCACUUGAUACCUUGUCCCCAACUGAUUCAAUCUCCAUGAAUUGUAGUAUAAGUAGUGGCACUGGUGCAAAACCAUCAGGAACCUUCUCUACAGAUCCACUAACUCGGGAUUUCAUGAUGAGUCGCUUUUUGCCUGCUGCCAAGGCAAUGACUCUGGCGAUACCUCAGUAUGCUUCAAGGAAGCAAUCUAUGGCACCUGAACAACCUAGAGAGGUUAAGAAAGUGGUUGAUGGGGACAGGAAACCUCCUGUUAAUCAAUAUGAGUCAAUUGUCAUUCCACAUUAUAACCAGGAUGUAGAUGAAGAAGAAACAGAAGAUGAAUAUGAGGACUAUGACGAUUCUGGCAAUUUAUCAAGAAAAGCAUGUGGCUUGUUGCCUCGAUUAUGCUUUAAGAACACUCUGCGCCUCGUAAAUCCUGUGCCAGGAUUAAAAGUUAGGACCCACUCUUCAAUGUAUUCUGCUCAGGAGGUUGUAAAACCUGGCAAAGAUACCUACAUGAAGUCUCGCAGCCAAAUUGUUGAGAAGGUUGAUUUUUAUAUUUUCCUUAAAAUCACUAUUCAAUGCUCUUGCUAUAAGCAUUAGAGAUUCUAAUAUAUUGCUUAUGAAUUUACUAUUUUGUAUCUUUGCAGCAUGCUUGGGAUGUUGUUCACAAGAACAAAUCAGUUAUUGGAGUUCAAUCCCCCAGGCUCCCAGAGAACAAAUUGGAUAGUGCAGUUCAAUCACCCAGGCUCCCAGAGGACAAAUUUGAUAUUGGUGUUCAAUUUCCUAGGCUCCCUGAGAUUGGGAAAAAGCUGACGUGUCAAUCAAAUCGGUUUACCAGCUCAAAUGACCAGCAGAUAGUGAAUAGGUCACCUCCCAAAAAGCUUCCAGAUGGUGCUCACAUUUCUCCCUAUCGGAGAGCGAGACCUCAAUCUCCCUUCCGUGGAGGGGGGUUUCUUGGCAUGCCCAAAGAAGCUGAGAAAUUCAAAGCCAAUAUGUUGGUUAAGUGUACCAGAAGCAAUAACAACUCGCAGGAAGUAGUACCCUACCAAAGCACCAGAAAAGGGUUAGGUUCUCUGAGGCCUGCAGUUGAGAAAACAUUGCAUGUAGAUACCGUAAAUUUUGCGGAAAUUGCAAGUUCAAUUUCCAAUUCCUCAGAUACCAACGUACAAACGGACUCCACAGGAAAGCAUUCUGAUACCUCACGAGCGAACAGAAUGCCGGAAGAACCUGCUAUGGUAGAAUCUUCUCUUCAAGAUAUAAAAGGUCUCAAUCUUUUGGAUGGAAAGGAAAUAUCAGAAUAUGAAAUUACAGGGUCAGUGAAUUCCAGUCGAUCUUCUUUCUGUGACAAACCUUAUCUCAAAGUUCAAGCAGAAAUUAUAGAUUGCUUCAGACAGAAUGGAGGACUGGAUCAAAAAUCUAAGUCCUUAGAGCGUAUAAAAGUUAGAGCUGAUGCAAAUCUAACUGUUAAUGAUGAUGAUGAUUUGAGAGCAGCUGAUCAAGAAGCUAAGGCUGGUUCUUAUUACUCUCCCCUUCCGCCUCCUUUACCAAAAACACCAUCUGAGUCUUGGCUUUGGCGUGCGCUGCCUUCAGCUACGUCAAGAAAUUCAUUUUCACAGUCUUAUAAUGGCACUCGAUUUAAUCCUAAAAAACAUGAACCUAAGAUACCUGCUACUGAUGAUACCAAGUGGGAAACAAUUGUCAAAACUUCUUACUUGCAUCAUAAUCACGUCCGCUAUUCUGAGGUAAUUUUAUCAUUCUUUAACAAUGAUACUGUCUUCUGAUGGGAGUUUCAUUUUCUAAAUACUAAUUCUUAUGUCUUUAACAGGAAUUAGUAACUCACUUUUCUCAGCAAUCCAAAACUUAACAAUAGAGGGGGCACCAUUGAAUUCCUUGCAUUCACUGCCUUUGUUUCAGCAGUUUUGGUUCAAAAUGGUCAGAGCUGGUUAAGAUUUUGCAGCAGCCUACCAUUUUUUUCUAUUUUUCUUCCUGGAGUUUCUCCUUCCAUUUUCCUUGUAUCUUAUGCUAGGCAAGUGGAUUUGUUAGCUCUUGAUGUACAAGCUUGUAAGUUGUUCGUUUCUUUUCCCUACAUCAGCCAUCAGUGCAGAAGCUGAGGCAAUUGUUACAUCAAAUUCAGAUUCAAUCUUGUAUCGGCCAAAAAUAUAAAAAUUAUUGGAUAUAGAAGGCUUCUUUGAUAUAUAACAUACUUGUUAUGGGCUUCCAGCAGUAUAGAACAUUAUCAUCGCCAAUAGGCUAGAGCAUAGGGAACUCGGAAUAGAAAUGGUUCAAGUAUAUCUGUAUCGUUUAUUUUCUUGGUCUGCCAUCUCGUUAAUGAAUUGGAAUUUGAAACUUUACAAAGUAGUGUGCCGUUAGGGAGCCCAUGACCUCUAGAGCUUCAAUUCAAUCCUCAUCUUGAGCCCAUAAUUCUUUUGUGCCUUAAGCCCAUAGCUUUAUCUUAUGCUUCCAGGAUUACAACCAGGAAGAUCCUCGAUCCUAUUAGUCUAAACAGUAAAAUGACAAAGUCCAAAUGUCUGUGGAUUAAUGAUUGCGGCCUGCAGGAACUUAAUAGCAGAGCUCACCUAGCUCUCUAACCGAAGAAAGAAAAGAAAAAAUGACAGACAAUGGGCCCAUAGAAUCACAGUUGGUCUAGACUCUACAGAGCGAAGCAUCCAUUUAUGGGCCUGUUAAGCUUGCCAAGUUAGUUCUUACAGUCGAUGUAUAUUCAUAAUUUAUGUAAACCAGGCACGUUGUAGCUAAAUCAUUGUUUCGAGAACAGAAAAGUUGAAUCUAAACAAGGUUCAUCAUAUUAAGUAACCUAUAAUUUCUUUUUCAGUGUACGUAGAUUCUAACUAAAUGAUCUUAAUUAUUACCAUCCAAUACAAGCCAAAAACAUGCAUGAACAUGACUCCCAAUAACAACUAAUUUAAAAUAUGAGUUAAUAUUACAAGUAGUCUUUGAUGUAUUAUAUAAAAUAUUUAUUAGAUAUUUGGAUUUGAAAUUUUUUUAAUAUAAUACUUAUAGAUUUAUUAAUUAAUAUGAUAUUCAUAAUUAACAUAAUUAGCUUUAAAUAAUAAUAUGUAAUAAAUAAAUAAUCUUUUAAAUAUUAUAUUAAUUAAUAUAUUUAUAGUUCAGACAUUAAAAAUUUUUAAAAUUUAGAUAUCACAUUUAAUAUUUCAAUAUAAUUUAAAAGUUAUUUGUGAUAUUAUUCAUUAAAAAUAUUAAUGUUCAUGCAUGAAUGAUAUAGGAGAAGAUAUGUACGAAACACUUAACAAAUUGUGUCAAUCACAAACCUUCCAAUUUCCUAAGAUUGAGUACUCUUAUCUCAUUCAAAACUGAUUUAACAACAAAAAUAUUCAAAUGAAGAACAACAACAGUAUGCUCACAAUGGCUCUAGGACAAGUACUUGAAAGAUCUCACUUCCUGUGGGUUUCUUUUUACAUGGUCAGACCCUUAAGCACUCAGCCUCAUUCGGCCUCGUUGCAACAUAUAAUUAAUUUGUGUAUGUAGACCAAGAUCUUCAUUUUGGACAAUUCUUCUGAAUCUUUUUGCUUAGUUGUGGAUUUUAUCCUGGAUAAAUAUAUUGAAGGCUAGCUAGGAAAGUGAAAGCUGGGUGCUAAUUUCUUGCCUGCCUUUACAAUGGAUCUUCUCAUCAUCAGUUCCAAAUCUUUGGCUUAGUCUUAACUGCAAAUCAGGCAACCAUUCCCUGUCCUUCGGCAGUUUAUCUUGGUUCAGCUGCAUUUCAAAUAAAGAAAGAAAAACAUUUGAAAAACAACUUUUUUUAAUUAUAUUUAUAUAUAGUCAAACUUCUGCAGCAGUUAUUCUACCUCCUCAAACUCUGUUCCACAGCUCUUGAAGUUGAUCAAGGAAUCGUGCUUGUCUGAAACAAAUUGCCCCAGCAUCUUCUUGUUUCGAAGGUUCCCUUCGGUUGGCCUUAUGGAGUAGCCUCCCCCAUCUGAGCUUGGUCUUUUGCAAAAAUAAUGUAACUGAGAUUGCGAGCAGGUAUUGGCAAAUGUGUCCUUGGUCAUAUUUCCAUUAACGUUCCAUCUAUUACUAAUCAUUUCAAAAGGAUGCCACCUUUUCUCUUCAAGAAAUCGACCUGACCUGAUGGGCCCAAGUCCCAUGGUUGUAACCAUUCCACGAGUUUGGUUUGACUGUCCUUGGUUGUAAAAGGCAGCUGAUUUUGGGAAACCAUUUUCUUGUCCACGAGCUUUGCUUAUGAAAGGAUUUUGUAAUAAUGGGCUCCUAUAAAAAGAGAAUUAAUAUAAGCAUACAAAUUAAGUGCCUUAAUUGCUAUUCAAGUUUCAGCAUUAGAGACUUGAGAAAUUCCUCGAUUCCAUGGCUAUCUAUUAAUGUUACCUUGGAAAGCUAGCUUUGAAAUCUAAUGGUCGUUGGAAGAGGGGAGAUUGGAAACGAGUUCGAGUGAUGUUGUUUUCAAAAGAUUCUCUGGCUAAGACAAUUCCACCAUUUUCCAUUCUGAAAUGUUGAUGAGGAUAGGAGGUAACAGCUUGAUGGUGCAACAUGCUCCGGAAUUCAUCCCUUCCUUGAAUUGCUCUAUUAGUUUGACAUAGAACUGCAUUAACAAAUACAAAGUUAAUUUUAUGAAAUUAAUAUAAUAAUAAUAAGUAAGUUUUUAUUUAAUAUAUUAGUUCUUAUAAAUUUUUAUGACUUACUUUUUUUAAUUAAAACUAGUGAAAUAAUUAAAAUUAAAAGAAUUAAUUUUUAUAAAUAAAUAAAUAAUGCACUUUUAAAGUAAAUACUAAUUAUCUUUGAAUUAAUUAAUUUUUGUUACAUUUUAACCAUCUUAUUGCUUGUGGUAUACACUAUUUGGUAUCUUUUUAAUAAACUGUGCCCAGUAUACAAUGAAAUGACAGUAGUAAAUCAUUUAAUGAGUACAAGCAAAAGGAAUUUCACCUUGUCCAGACUCAUCAAGCUUCUUACUUCUGUACAUCUGAAACAGGAUUAUAGAGAUAUGAUGUUAAAAAAUGGAUUGAAAAAUUGAAAAUUAGGGCAAGGAAAUAUCAAAUCAAAAUGUUUUUUUUUUUUCAUCAUUUUUGCACCUGCAAGUGACUUUUUACAUGGGCAAUGUUAAGUCCCCUCACAUUCAUCAAUUGAAGAACUAACUUAGGAGUUGCUCCUGCAACAAAACCCAAAGAAAUUAAGUUUUAGAGUAAAAUAAACUUGAAAACCUUUUUCGUUUUGUUUAUCUUUCUUAAAUCAAAUGACAACAAAGUUAAAAAGCAAUAAACAAUGAUGCAAUAUUUGAACUUACUCUCUUGCCCACCAAGCCUUUCAACUGCAUGCACGAAAGAGAGAUGGAGAUCAGGAGUCCACCGAAGCCGAGGCAAUUUUGACCUAACAUAUUGCCUUACUGUUCUUCUAUCAUUGCCUUCCUCUCCCCCAUUGUUAUUGCUGGAAGUCCCUUCAGUUCUCUUCUCAUCCUCUUCAACACUAACUUCACCUUCCUUGCCAAUACUAUUAUUAUUAUUAUUAUAAGAAUAAUAUUCCUCUUCGCUUCUAGCUUCUUCAUUCAAGUCGAAGGAUGAGCACUUCAGGGAAGAAACAGCAGACAAGUUUUCGGCCUGUUCUUCACUAUCGACCCUCUUUUCUUCAUCAUACACCUUUGUCAUGCCUUCGAUCAUUGCUUUUUGCUGAUAGAAAUGAAAAGAAUGGAAAAGAAGAGAAAGGAUAUUUAAAGACACAUACAAGCUGCAAAAUGAUACUAUUGUUAUGACCCAAACUCCUUGACAAUCAUCGGGGAAAACAACAUCACCAUGGAUUUUAUUGAUUAAUGCCCUUAUUGCCUAACUGUCGAACCUGUUUAUUCUAUACGUGCAAAUUGUUCAAGUUGCAGCUGAAUCCACUCGUUUUUUUUUUUUUUUUUUUCACAUUUAAUCAUCUUUUAUGAAUAAUAAAACACAUAUACUUCUAUGCAACCUACCAAUUCCAACAUUAAUAUAAAACUUGGACCAUGCAAUAAAAUAAAAAUUAUGAAAAUGAGUUUCUCAAAAUUCUUCUGAUUGUUGGUUUGGAGCAACUAUACACUGACUAAAAGUAAAAAAAAAAAAUCGAAGAAAAUAUUGAAAGAUGUCAAUAUUUCUAUUAAAUAUUUAAACAUAUUCCCAAAGUGCAUUUAAAAUCUUUAUACUACCAUGAAAGCUUCCAUUUGUCAAAAAAAAAAAAAAAACUUUAUACUACCAUUUAUUUCCCAAAGAUAGUUCUCUUCUUAUAAUCAUAGAUAUAGCACAACAUAUAGAGCUCCCAUUUGCUGAAGUAGAAAUGUUGGAUUUAGUUGCCUUUUAGACCUUGCCAUUAUAUAUGCAAUGACUUCAUAAAUGAAAAUUAAGACAAUAAACCUAAUUAAUGCAGCACUAAUCAUCUAAUAUGAUAUUUCUUACCAGACCCCAUCACUUGGAGACUUUAAAUUUGUUUAGAUGAAGUUAUAAAAAGUAGCAAUAAGUAGCAAUCCCCAACAUUAGCUGUGGUUUAAAACAUUUCAACGGUCGAUCUUGUGGAUGUGAGGAUAUUUUUUAGGUGAUAGGUUUAACUGCACAAACUUAUUGCGGGCUGCAAAGCAUUUUGUCAUCACAUUUAUGGGUGGAGCCAUUUGUAUAAACAGCAUCAUCCACCUUUUUAAAUGGAAGUAGUUUCAAAUUAAUGAGUUUUUGGCUAUGAAGAAUGUGGUGUUUUAUGCAAGUAAAUUAAACGUAGACGAAUUACAACAUUCGACUGGCUCUCUCUCAUACAAAUACACAAAUUUCAUCCAAUAACUUACUUUAACUAUUAUAAAUAUAUAUAUAUAUAUAUAUAAGAGAUCAAUUUAUAUAAUAUAAAAUUUUUUUAUUUUAUAUUUUUUAACUUUUGAUUUUAAUAGAUCUAAAGGAUAAAAAUAAAUAAAAAUAAAAAAAAUGUUUGAUCUCAUUUUUUUAGAUUUAUUAAAAUCAAUGGUUAAAAAAAUUAUAAAACUAAAAAAAUUUUACACUAUGUAAAUUGAUUCUUCCCAUAUAUAUUAAUGCAUGACAGAAAAAAAAACUGAGGGUCAUAUGUCACACUUACAUAUGGAUCUAAAUUCUUGCUCGAUUGAUACAGUGAAGCCAACCUCAUAGAUUUUUGUAACUUCUAGGCAUCCGAUUUCUGCAGAAGUGGUGGAGUUGUCAAAGUAAGUAAAAAAAAAAAAUUGCAGCUAUAUUAUGUUGAUCUAAUAAAAGUUAAAUCUGAACAACUUCGUACGAAGAUAUAUAUUGGGUUAUAACAUUAAUUAGCAAAUAGUAAGAGUGUAAUUCAUAAUCCGUAUUUUGUGUAGGAAAAAUUUAGUAGUGACUUUGGAUUCUGAUCUAUGCUUAUAGAAUACGAGUACUUCAUUGAAAAACAAAUGAGAAAACCCCAACUGCACUGCUGUUUGUUAUUAGAGCUGAAGGGGGAAGAGAUCAGAUAGCUAUAAAGAAGGAAGAUUAAUUUGUCAUCUGUAAAUAUUGUUGAUAUUUUAUUAGAAUCAAAGCAGUGAUGUACUUGAGUUUAAGUUUAAUUAUUAUAGGAACCUUAUAAGAAAUAAUAAAUAAGUAUGGAAUCCAAUGAAACCAGUACCUAAAUCCAAUGAAGUAUACAUUUUUUCUUUUAAUGUAAAUUUAGGUGAAGAUACAGUGGGAAAAGAAUCAACGUUAUGAUAAAAUAAAAGUUUAUUUCAGAAAUGAUAGACUUCUGAAGAACUGGAAGGCAUGCAGUUCAUCUCUAGGAUACUGGUAAAACAUCAUCUUUCAUUUAUUCAUGAAAACCCUUUCAUUUCCUUCCAGAAUACUUGUAAAAAAUCUCUUCUAUAAACCUGGCUUUAAAAUUUGAAAGGCAAAAAUCAACCCAUAGAUUCAGAAAAGAACAACACAAUUAACUGGCCUAAAAGAUUUUCAAAAUUUGAGUUAAACAUGGUGGAAAAUAGAAAGUGGAAACCAAAAGAAAAUUAAGAAAUCAAUUACCACAAAGAAAUCAUGUCUUUUCUUUCCUUUCCCCUCAAAGAUACAAACCAUAUAUAUAUAUGCUGAAGAUUCCUGAUGCAGACUCUAUUCCUUCCUUCCAAGUUGUUGAUCAUCAGAUAACCCUUUCAACUUUGGAGAAUAGAAGAGGAGGAUACCUAGAGAGAGAUUGGAACCAACUUGGUAGUCCUUUUAAACAAAUGAUCAAGAGAGAGAAAGAAGAAGAAGAAGAAGAAAAAAGAAGCUGGGUAAGGUUUUUCAAUUGGUUUUCAUUGAACCGUGGAAUUGAAGUCAUCAAAAUUUAUAGUAUUUUAUAUAAGACUUCAUCGUCAUGGUUUUUAAACCAAAAACAAACAAAACAAAACAAAACAAAUCAACGAUAUUUUGACACUCCACUUGUUCUCUUUAUAUGAUAAAAUCAUAGUCUCUCAUCACAUUAUAGAUACAGAUCCGACUGUUGCAUAUAUCAUGUGACCAUUUCACCUUUUUUUUUUUUUUCCAUGAACAAUGAAUUCUCCAUUGACAGUUAUCUCCUUGUAAAAACCUAUAAAAACUCUUUUCCUAAUAUCUUUUUCUUUGGUGAUUAAAGUAAUUGUUUGACCUUUGUUGAUAAGGUCUUGAUUUGGAGACUCCUCUCGUUGUUAAUAUUAUGAUUAACAAAAAAAAAGAUUUUUAUAAGAUAAUUAAACAUGGGUUUUUGUAAGAAAAUGUGGGGGCCAUUUCUUCAUCAACCCAUCAAUUUCUUCCUACCUAAACAAAGACUUUUUGUUUUUUGUUUCUUAAAUCAUGGUAGCAUAUACUUUUGUCUUGUCCCCAUGUUCUUAUUGUUUUGGAGUCCACAUCUUUAAUUUUCUGUGCAAAUAUACGUUGUUAUAUAUGAAUUUGAUAAUAUAUAGUUCAUAGGGUUUUCAACUAGGAAAAAAAGGAUCCUCCUCAUAACACUAGAAUUAUUGUGGGGUCGCAAUUGGCUAGCAUGAGCUAGAAAACUUAGUCAAUUUUGGUGGGUCUCGUGUAUUCAAACGAGUCGCGCUCGAUCACGUUCCAAACAUUUUUCAAUUUGCAAACAGCAAAGCAAAUGAAUAAUGAAGAAUAUUGAUACAUACAUAUAUAUUAUUAAAAUAAAUUAUCUUACAUCUAAUUAAAUUUUAAUAAUUUAUAAUUUUAUAUUCAAGUUAAGUCUUUUAUUUAUUACCAAUUAUAAUAAAUUAAAUAUUUAAUAAAAUAUCAAAAUUAAGAAUUUUUUUUAUUAUCUUUUUUUAAUUUAUCACAUGAAAGACUUCUUUUAUUUUUACUUUCACGUGAUGUAACUCUAUUAAAGUGGAUUAUAACAUAUAUAUAUAUAUAUAAGAAUUUGUGAAAAAAUAUAAAAAUAUAAAAAAUUUGUUUGAUUGAAUGAACUUGAUUCAGAAGAUAAGAGUUCAACAUCCUAAGGUGGUUUUUAGCUCUACCAUCUGACAACCCCAAGUGCAUUAUUAAUUAAAUUUGUUCUAUAUAUAUGGAUCUAGAAAUCUGAAUGGGAAAUGGAAAUUAAUGAGGAUGGUGGAUAUAGUUUGCAAGCAAAAGGACAUAAACCAAUUUCCUAUAUGACGAUAAUAUAUACUAUAUAUUAAGAAAUAAUAUUUGUUUAAUCUUUUUCGUCUACAUCAAAAGGGUUUACUUUCCAAGGCUGAGCAGAUAGAAUUUGGACUGUUUUGUCUUCACUCUUUCAUAGUCUGAAAGAAGAGGAAUAACUUAGAGGAUUAGGUUUGGCUAAAUGACAUCCAAAAAGUAGCUCGUUAUGCGUGACAUGUGCAUUAUUUUUGUUCCAAAACAGAGAUGACAGAUAUUCUAUAUAAGGAUUAAAUUAAAAGUUUUAGCACAGAAAACAACUUGGAACGGAGAACAAAACCCAACCCUACGUUCCUAGAAGACACUUGUUUCUUGUCUUCUCCUUUGCAUGGGGAGUUGACAUUUUUGAUUUGUUUAAACCUUUCGAAUCUUUUAAAGAAUUGUUUCACGGAUGAAGACAUCCAACCUAGCAUCACUGCUUGUCUUCAUGGAUCUUAAAAAAAUUGGUCUCGAGGAACUUAUAUUUUUUUAAAGUGACUGUGGAGAAAGAAUCACGCUGAUAAAUCCACAAAUCAACUUUAAUAUCAAUAAUCUAUUCUUAUUAUUCUGUUCGUUUCUUAUGAUUUUAGUCUUCCUUUUCUUCCUGUUUGGACUUUUUAUAGCGUUUCAGAAUUGGGAUUCCACUGGCAUUACUAUAAACGCAUGAACCGGCUCACCAAAUUGCUUCAUCUUUGGGCGCCUGCUUCCCCACCUUAACUGAUAAUAUAUAGAGGACGGUCUCAAUUUGAUAGACAUGAAAGACACAAGUAUAUAUGAAUAAUUAAAAUAAACCCUAACAGCUUACAAGAUUCAGUGAGCGCUGGAGAGGAGCCCUGGCCCCCAUUCAAAUGAACCCUUACAAUUUACAAGGCAGAUUACCAGUGUAAUUAUAUAGCAGCUAUAGCACAGAAAUUUUUUUACUUAAAGAAAGCUGAUAUAAAAAGGAUACGGCCUUACCGGCUUAGAUGGUCCUAAGAGGUUCAUUUAUGUCAGAAUCAUUUUGCCAUGUUUCCCGUCAUUCGAUCGAUCGAAUCAUCAUAAAGCACGAAAAGGGAGAUAGCGAGGGUCAAUAAAGUGCAUAUAUAAGUGCAGAUGUGACCUUUUUGAAGAGUUAGGAAACAAUCAUUAGGCCAUCGUCAUGGCAAAGAUUAAAAUAUAUCGGUCAUAUAAGUAGUUGUAACAAAUUAGACUUGAUUAGCUAAAACUACUCAUGAGAGAGUAAACCAUCCACAAGAUUUAUUUAUUUAUUUUUAAAUUUUAGUGUUACUUUUAGAUUCUAAGGUAAAAGUCCGAUAAUUCCGAAUUUUAUCUUUUUUUUUUUAAUUUUUUUAUAAAAGUUUAUAGUCUCGAAAUAAGAAAAUAAAUUUUAAGUGUUGAGAUUCGAAUUUUUAUAUUGUUAAAUGUUAUAUUUUAAGUAUAAUUGUAUAAAUUAAUUAAAUUAAACAUAAAGAUUUACCUAUUUUUUAACAUUUGCUUUAUACAAUUUUUUUAUAUGUGAAGCAUCAUUUCUUCUCUGCAAGAAGGAAUGCAUGAUAAUGAAAUAUGGAAAAUAAAGGAAAAUGUAACUUAAUUAUCCAGAAACAAGUGUCAUCUUAUAACUUUUGUAUAAUUCACACGAGAGUUUCAAUUUAAUGUAGUCUGAUAUACUGCUACAUCGCAAAUUUAAAGGCUAUUAAAACAAUGAGAUCCUCAUCAAAAUUAGAUCUAUUUUAAAUGUUGACAAAGCAGUUGAAGCAAAAAAGAAGCACUUGACAAGCAUGUGCCCUUGAAGAGUGGGGGGGGGGGGGGGGGAGAGGACCAGAUGGGAAAUAGACAUAGACUUAAACAAGUUCAUUCCUUUUCUUUUCAUUUGGUAUAUGCAGCCUUACCAACCUCGUCUUGUGGCAUUAUUGGUUUACUUGCAAUUAAUUAAUGGUAGAGAAGUUGCUGGUGUAUAUGGGAUCUUCAUUUAGAAAAAAAAAAAAAGCAUUACCAUAUAUAAUUUGUAUUCUCAAUUCAAAUGAAAUGGACUAAAAUUCAUUGCAAGCUGAUAAACCUAAAUAUUUCUGUCAACAUCAUUUGAUGAAAUUCAAAUGGUGGUAGCUAGAUUGAACUUUAAUUUACUUUCAUAAAUAUUAAUCCAAUCCAGGGCAUGAGAAUUUUUCUUUUCUCAAAUCAGUAGGAAAAGACUCGUCUGGUGAAAAAGGUCCUGACAUGAAACCCUUCAGAUGAAAACAACAUUUCUUAUUCCUCUAUCUGCUGCUUAGUUACUAUACAAAUAAGGUGGGGAGAGCUUUUUCAUGUUGACACUGGAUAUUAUUUUGCUAAAAACCUAACCACCCACCCACCCUCCUCCAUGCAUUCCCUUUUUCUUUUGCUUUUUUUCUGUUUCAUCAUCAUCAUCUCGGUUUUCCACUUUUUGAAGAAAAGUAUAGUAGUAAUAGAAAAUUACAGGCCAUUUUCAAUUGAUUUCACCAUGUGCCUUGCUGGCCCAUUGCAAAAUAAACUCUCGCAAUUCAAUAUAUGCAACUACAUAGAGCAGGCUUGCACAUGGGGGAAGUUAAAGAGAGAUUAAUAGGGAGGAAAGUAACAAUAUAUGGACUCACUUAUAUAAAAUUCCAUACGCUACUUGAAAUAAAUCUUCUUUAUAUUAACUACCAAAAUAUGUGAAGAAAUGAAGAAAACAGUGAAGUUUCAGCCAUUAUUCUAGGGAAUUGAAUGGUAUGUAUAAGUUGGAGAAAUGCAUUGAAGAAGAAGGUCGAUAUACCCAUGUGGGAUAGAGGAGGAAAGUUAAUGGGGAACAUUCUCACUUGUCUUUUUCUCAUUUGUAUAAACAAAUUCAUUAUUUGUAAAAACAGGGUCCUGGUUGAUUGCUCAGAAAUGUUUUUCCCAGCAUGGGGUUUAUAAAGCACAAGCCACCAAGGGCCACAUUUUCAAUACUGCUCGUACCUACACAUAGAACCAAACUCUGAAAGUGGACUGGCCUCUGAAAUUUUCAAUGCCUGCCAAUCCGCACUGUUCAAUUUUGCUCACGGCCUAUUAACAGCAACAACAGUACAUGUAGGUCGAACCGUGCAGCACCACAUAAAAUUUCUACUGUUUUCCUGUUUUAAGGACUUAAGAAAAUUUUCCACUUUUGUGAAACUUAUCAUCUUCAACUACUUUCAUAGGGCCUCCCUUCCCUGGUAUUAAUUUUGUUUUAUGAGUGUAACUUGCAGGUCGUACAAUCAACUAGAAGUAAAAAUUAAUAGAUAAAACACUGAUGAUUUCCCAGGAUAGCAAUGAUUACCAAACAUGAUUUUCAAAUGUAGAAAACCUUGAAAAAAAAGGUUGGUUUCUGCACUUUUUAACAUGUGGUUUGGCUUCAGCCUUGUCCAGAGACAGUACUGUCAUGGGUGCUUGAUUUGGAAAAUAAUUUCAGGCAUCUACUUCAACAGAGUGAAAAGUGUAAACCAAACAUUUAACUGCAUCGUAGUCAGGUUGUUGGAUUUAGUAAUCAUUGAUUAGGACGUCAGAGGGUUCAUAAAGCAACUGCCCAUCUGGUCUCAACCAUUUCCUCAGCUGAUGUUAUCAGAAGGAAUUCAACUCCAGCAACCCAUUAGGUUCCAGCUAGUGGGGCGUACUUCUUGUGCAGUUUCUCUUUACACUAGUCUUUCUCUACAUUUACUAUGAAAAGGAAUAGCAGUAGCAGAGUAGCAGUAGUAGUAGUUUUUCCUUUAUUUCUUUUCUUGACACCUACUCACAUAACAACCCUCCAUGCCUAUACCAUAAAAUGUAAGAUAAAGAAGAGGAAAAACAAUCCAACCAGAAAGUAAAGCUAUGAGAAAAUUUCAUAAAGCAAAGAUAAAAUAAUAUGCAUUGUUUAGCAAUAAAUUCUCGACAACAACUCUGAUAUUAGGAAGAACAUGUUCUUUCUAUCGACAUUCACCAUUAAGCAGGCAUAUAAAACACUUGUAUAAUACAUACAAACAGAUUCCUCAAUUAGCUAAUGACAAGAUUUAUUGCCACCAGAAUUGACAGUUAACAUUCCAACAAUGUGUGAAAUGGUUCUUAUUUUAUAGAGCCAAUAUGACUAAUGGUAUGGUCCUCUCCAAAAUCACUUUAUUGUCUAAUAAUGGGGCCUCUAUACUGUCCCCUGCGGACCACAAAGCUUUCAGGUGGUUGAAUCUCUUCCAACCAAGCCACUUUAGAGGGAUUAAUACCACACAACUGAUCAACACCUUUUGGAGAAGAAAAAUGGAGAAAACUGGUUAAUCAGAAUUAAACAAAUUUAUUUAGUAUGAGUAGAUGAAAAUUUAGUACCUUCCACAUUUCUCUGAUGGAUUCUCCUAAAAUAAGAGCAGUGACGCCCAUCUUCUGAAGAGUAAGGGGGUGAAAGAACAUCAAACAGUGCACAUGGAGUUAAAGCUUUGAAGCUAUGAAUGUUGCCACCAGUAGUCGGAUGAAGAAUUGUUGUUCCAGAGGGAGCAGUCACUUCACAAUCUCUAACAAGUUUUGCAGGUCUUGCUGUAAUUUUCACCAAUCAAGAGUUAAUUCUUGAAGAAAAUUGGGAAAGAAUUUUUUUUUCAAAUGAAGUUAUAACUUUCAUGCAUUUGUUGUUUCUCAAAUCAAUAUAUAGGCCAAAAAAUUAGUUAAUACAACUACAAAACAAAAUGCAAUAUCAACCCAUUUUGUCUUGCAAAAGCUGAGGACUAAACAAGGUUUUCUAGAGAAAAUGGGGAGCUCAUUUGGCCAUGCAACCAUAUGGGCAGAUUAAAAAAAUGUACAGCUAAAUGGUGGCCCGUAUAUAGAACCAAGUCAACCAACAGAGAAUUAAAAGUCUUUAAUAUAAAAAAACUCAAGUAUAUAUAAAUAUAGUGGUUGAAAAUUUAUUUGAUUCUUUCAAAUUUUCACAGCUCAAAUAUCCAAGUACAAAGGAAAUUUAUAAAAUCGAAAACCUACACAGAAGGAGAUGAGUGUUAAAAUAUUAAAGCAGCAUUCCUCGAAAUUAAAGUGUACAGCUACUAAAGGAUACAAUUUUAUCCUAAUCAACCGAAUUUAUUGAGAAAGAUUCCUUUUUUUGGGCCAAGGGGUUGAGAGUCAGAUGUCAGUAAGCAUAUUAUGUGUUUCAGAUCAUGUUCAUGCUGUUGCAUAAUAUCCCCUUGGAACAAGAAAACACCCUGUGAUCUUGUCGAACUGUUGAAAGAAAUUAAGCAUUCAUGGGUUAAAUGUCUACACUAUCCAAAUUUCAUAUAGAUAGCCUCUGUAUCAGAUUUACAUGCUUCCAGGGUUUUUUGCACCCUCAAGGAGGCCCAGUCAAUCAACUAACCAACAUCAUCAGCAAAACAGCCAAUUCCCAACUAUCUAGUGUGUGCAUAAUCUUGAGAGCAACAAAAAGGCCAAUGGCCACCACAAAGCAUUGAUAAUAAUCCAUGCUUUAUUGCCAAAAGCUUUGGGUUAAGGGAAGCUUGGAGAUAAAAACCAUGUGGAGUAAGCAGAAGUGGUUGCAUCAGUAGAAAAGUAAGAAAGUUUCAGGGCAGUUGAGGUGGUUGUAAUGGUCUUAAGGUAAACACUUUUUUCUCUUAAAAGUUUCCUGCCUAGCACAAAACAGCACCCACAAAUAACCAUGAGUCAUCCUAAACAGAACUCUAAAACAUUGGGGGUCUGAUAUACUUUCAAUUACCAAGACCACCAGUUACAACUAAUACCAAGGAUACUAUAUAUUCUUGGCUUAAGCUACUGGAAAAUGCAUGCAUGUCAGAAUUGAUCAGUAUUCAUUAUCACAAGGAGCCAUGAAUUGUUCAAUCUUAACAUCUAGGUGGCUCUUCCAAAUCAUAGUUCUUGCAGAAUAGCAAUAUGACUUUUAAGCUUAAUCUGACAACCAAACGUACUUCACAAUAGAUACCAAAUGCUGGAAAGUAUCAAUUUGAAGAGCUCUGACUGAACUAUAUCUUAACAUUGCAAAUAGUAAUAGAUAGUAAUGAAUGAAUGAAAGAUGCAUAAUCUAUUAAAGCAGAGACGUUAUUCUGCUUUCAGAAAUUCAUAUAAGCAACUACCUCUUCAAAGCACUUCUCUAUUCCAUGAUUAAAAUAAAGUCUUAAAAACAUAACCCAGGUGAGGAAAUGAUAAAUUAGGUUAUUUGCUUUAAUAAUGGUAGGAAAUGAUGGCUGUAAAAACUAAAAAUUUGUCUCAUACAAGAUCCUAUUUGAGAAACACCCCCCCCCCCCCCCCCCCCCCCAGAUGCAUAUUGAAAUGAAGCAGCAAUAAUAAUCAGUUCAAUUUGAAACAAAGUUAUGGUUUUGAAUAAUUUCAAUUACAUUACAGCUGUCAGAAUUUUGAUUGUCUAAAAAGGAUAAUCAUUGCAAAUGUUGUGAGCAUAAGGAAGCAGGAUAUGCUCUACUGGCACAUGUAUCUUAUCUUUGCUCAGACAAAGUCAAAGGAUCAACUAUUUUCUACCAAUUAAAAGUUCAAAACAAUCUUAAGAAACCUGCAACAGCUCAAAGAGCAAUACAUUUGAAUGGGUUUGAAGUGGUUUUAAUCAUAAUAUAAAUUACAAAUUAAUUAUAUAUUUUUUAGUAUGUUUGGAGUGGUCGGCUAUAGAAUUACAGUUCAUUGACAGCUCUAAAGUUCUGAUCCAACAUGACAUUUUUCCUUCAAUAUGUAGGCGCACACAAAAGCAUGCAGGCAUCAAGCAGGAGGAAGCAAGCACGAAGGACAUACAACGAUUCCAUAUUGAAGAAAUAUAAAAGUAAAGGAGCAUAAACACGUUUGGAGAAAAUAAGAUGAAAUACAGUGAUUGAGUUUAUCCCAAACUAACCAUGCACCAUGAGGCAGAGAGUAACACAGAUCAAGGAAGAUGAUAUGGACGUUGGACUAUAACAAACUAUGUAAGUAAUACAACUUUUAAUACUAGAAUAGUCUUCUACAUAGUUAUUUGAAUGUAAUCAGUACAGCAUAGAUAUCAACAUAUUGCAUUGAAACAGAAAAAAAUAAGUGUAGACCAGCAUAUUAUUUACCAUUGUUUACUUUUUUAUUUUCAUGCAGCCAUGAGGUUUCAAGGUUUUAUGUCUAAGCUUACUUUUUAACUUUGAGAAUGUUUCUCUUCUAAUACAUCAACUCUUCGACACCAAUAUCCACACACUACUAUUCCAGAAACCAGAGGACAAUACUUUAAUUUCAUCUUGAUCUCUGCUAUUUGCUAGCAAAACAAGCCAUAACAUUCUCAACCUUCUAAAAAUUAUUAGAAUUCAACAACAACAAAUGAUCACGUUAAGUUGAACGAAGGAAAAUCCUAUUUUAAAACAUCAUGCGAUUGCCACUAUUUUAAUCAAAAAAACCAUGUAGAAACUCAACAGAUAGAAAGGGCACCUUGAGAAAAAUCAGCUUGACCAGGCAAAUCAAGCCAAUCAUAUGAUUUCACAUGAAGCGAACCAUACAGAACCUUGCUCAGAACAGUCAUUCCAGGAUGAUUAUGAAGUGGUAUGACAGAGGAAGGUGACAUACAGAAGAUCCCUAUCUGCGGCAAAGCACCAAAAUGCACAAAGCAUGAGUCAUUGAUGAAGGAAAUCAAAUUUUAGUCACAACCCCACCCCCCCCCCGAAAUGAGAAGAAAGAAAAGCUCCUUCCUAGUGAAGAUCAUUUUAAGAAGUUCAGAUGCACAAAUACAAUAGCAGUUAUAGCAUGCAACUAUUAGAUUGCUUACAGAAAACCUGUCACACUCAUGCAAGUGUAAAUAUUUUACUGCAGGUGGAUACUGAUGAUUUCUAUUUUGCCCUUUUCUCCCGUUGCUUCCAUUUAUCAAAACAUUCCAUCCACGUGAUAGUUUUGCCUCCUGUUCGAGACCCACAUUGGAAGGUUUCAAUUCAUCUGGAAUGGCAUAAGUGAAAGUGUUAAAAGAAUAUGCAUAUACUAGCUAGAUGACCCUAAAAUUAUUUCAAUGAAAUGGAAGUUUACAGCCUUCAUAAGGAAACUUUCAAUUAAAGUAACAUAAAAGUAACUUUCUCACCUAAAAUAGCACAAACACUAUCCAGAGCUUCUUCUGAUAUAGGACCAUUGGUUGAGAAGGAUUCUUUGCAAGUGUCAUACAGUUUCUGAACCACUGGCAUGAUUAGAUCAGAGGAACAAAACUCUGAAUCAACCAGCCAAUAGAUUACCAGAUUGAAAGAUUAAAGAAUUCAAUUUCUAGACAACUAAAAACUUUGACAUGAAAUCAAACAACCAACUCCUAAGAACAGUCCAGGUUACUCAAUUUUAUGAUAGAGCAUUCAAAAACAACUUCCUGUCCUGCACCAAUUACAAAAUCCAGUCCUACGAGAACCCAAAGGGCAGCUAUAUAUAUAUGCAAGGCACUGGUAGUUAAUUAAUCCUUUCCUCUCCAAGCUCAAGAAAUUGCACCUAUCACAAACAAAACAUAAAUGAAAGACUACAAAUUAAACAAAACAACAUCAUCCUAAAUCCUCAAAAAUAAGAAUAAGAAGAAAAACAAUAAAGUAAAGCGGUUCCUUGGUGUAUUCAGAUUUCACAUCCUUAACAAUCAAACGGGUUUCAAACAGAAUUUCUUGUUUCCUUAGGAUUUAAUUAAAUUAAAGUACUAAACCACAGAAAUUAAAAACUAAAUAUGGGCUUAUGCAUAAUAAAUAUAAACUUUUUGAUCCUUCUGGGUUUUCCCUGGAAACAAACAGAAAACAAUGCUCACUAAUGUCAUGUGAUUGCAUAACAGAUUAGAGUCAAAACCAAUCCCAGUUAAAACUGAAACAGAGGAAGAAUAAGAAGAACUAAAGCAUGUGAAAAUAGCAAUAAAAUGAACCAAUCAUACCAGAAUCUUAUAAACUGUCUUUGUUGAUAUCAAAAUUUAAAAGGUAAAAAGAAAAGCAUAAAUUUUAGUGUAAUUUAAGAUAAAGAAUAAAAAAAAAUAGAGACAGAGACUUGGGGGGAGUACCUUCACCAGGGCCUGGGGGUUCGGGUUUGGGUUUAGCAUGAGAAAGUGAAAGAGAGAAGAAGGCAGCAGUUAAGAACAAACCAAGCCGUCAAUGUUUGUUUUGAAGUUGUUCUUGUGUACUUGAGUACUGUUGUUGUUGCAGCUGUGUUUUUGCCUAGAAUGUUUGAUUCUUUUGAGUGUACGAUGUUUUUGUGCCAUUUGGCCGCAAAUGUCAGAAAUUUUGCUCACGAGCUCUAAUUCAAUGUAUCUUCCUUCCUUUUCAAUUUUGAGGUGAUAGCACCACAUCAUUAGCAGCCACUGUUUUUUAUUCUUUUUGUCCUUUUCGUUCUUUUUUUUUUUCUGGUUUUGUAUUCUCUUUAAAUAGCAAUGAGGAAAGGCAAUCUCACCGAACCUAUCUAAUUAAAUAUACUAAUGUAUGUCCUUUUAAUGCAAAAAAAAAAAAAAAAAGAAUAUUCCUUAAGAAUUCGAGUUGAAUUUCAAUUUAUGUUAUGUUUUUAACUUAUGGGUUUUUUUUUUUAAUUUUUAUUUUCCUUCAUUGAAUCUGGUUAUUGUUGAAUAUAAAACAUUGACUAAUAUGGAUAGAUUUAUUUAUUUUUUAUAAAAUAAGUUAAUAUUUUAAAAAAUAAAAAUAAUCAUCGAUUAUAUCUUCAAUCAAUUAAUAUAUCAUUAAAAUUAAUAUUUAAAAAUUAUAAAUUUAAUAUAAUUUAAGCGUAUAAUAUUUUUUUAAUCAAAUAUAUUUUAAAAUAAGAGAAAUUUAAUGAUAAAUUAAAAACUUAAAAAAACAAUAAUUAUAAGAACUGAAUCUUGCUUUAUUAAAAUCAUAUUUCUUAAAAAUGAUGAAUGAAUUAUUUGAAUAAAACCCUAAUUUUCUUUUAAUUAUAUCUUUAUUUUGAUGAAACCAUAAAGAACUUUAAUUAUGAAUUUAGUAAUUGAAAAUGCAUAAAAGUGUUAGUGAUGUCUUUUCUAGUAAUAUAAUUGUUUUUCGUGGUAAUACUAUGAUUGGACAUUUUACUAAUUCAUUGAAUGUCUUAAUUUUUCUCCCAAAUUCAAUAGAAUUGUAAAAAAAAAAAAAAAAAAGUGAAAUGUGCUAAGCCACUAUUUAAAUUUAAAAUCUCGUUAAUACUGACAAGUAACAGUAAUUAAGAGUGUAAUCAAAUAGAGUCGAGUAGAUAAAUAAAAAAUUCAAGCUUGAGCUCGACUCUCAACUCACGAUUCAAUACUCAACUUAAACUCGAUCGAAUUUCAUUUUCUUAACUCUAUUCUAUUCGUGAUUGAAAUCGAACUGUUUAAGUUCGUUCGAUUAAGCUCGUUUAAUAUAUAAAAAUAAGCUCGAUUCAUAUACUCGAUAAGCGUUUAAUUAUUUGUGCUCGAGCUCAAAUUCAAAUUUGAGAUAUUUUAUUAAUUAAAAUAAUAAAAAUAUAUUUAAAUAUAAAAAACUCGAUUAAGCUCGUGAGCUACUAGAGUCGGGUAUAAAAAUACUCGAACUCGACUCGAUCGAUGAAUCGAGCUACUCGAGCUCAAGCUUAACUCAAUAAUAAUCAAACCGAAUUCAAAUUUUAUUCGAAUAAAAUCUAAAUAAUUUAUGUGUAUUAAUAUAUCAUUUAUACUCGUAAUAAUAAUAAUAAUAGUGAAACUCACAAUUCAUUUGAUCCUUCUUGAAACUACUUCUUUUUUCAGAUACGAGUCCUUUUAGGGAUGGCAUCGGGUCAGGUUCGGGGCGGAUUUUGUUCGCCCUAAACCCGACCCGACUUUAUGUUUUAGCAUACCCGAACUCGACUCUACCCGAUUUUUUUUAUACCCAAACCCGACCUCGACCCCGACCCCGAUAUUAUGUAAAUCGAACCCGACCCGACACAACCCGAAAUUAAUAAAAUAUUAUUUUUUAAAUAUAAAUAUUUAAAAAUAUUAUUAUAUAAAUAUAUAUAUAAAUAAUUAAAUAAUUAAUUAAAAAAUAAUUUUUUAUAUAAUGUCGGAUUUUUGGCAUACCCGAACACGAUCCGACCCCGAUUAUUCUCUAAUAGGCUCAGUGGCCUGUUUAAAUUUGCAAGCCCCUUUUGAAUCCGGGCUUGUCUUUUUUUUUUUUUUUUCCAUAUUCGGGCUAAGUUGGAUUUUCUUUACUUCUUUCCCUUGGAUAUGGGCUUCGUUCAUUUUUUUUUUUUUUCAUCUUGACAUGGGUCAUGACUUUUCUAUAUUUAUUUAUUUUAUAUUAAAUAUGUAUAAAAUAUAAAAUUAGUAUAUUAUAAUUUGUGUUAACAUAUUAAAUAUAAAUUUUUUAUUUUUUAUUUUUUUUAAAUUUAUGAUAAUUUUUAUUAAAAUUUUAAAUUAUAUUAUUUUCAUGUAUUUUUUUAUAUUUUUAAUAUGAUAUUUAUAAUUAUUAUAUCUAGGCAUACAAUUGUAAUUAUGUUAUAAUAAUAAUAAAAUAAUAAUAAUAAGAAGUUAUGUUAAUCUCUUACAAUUCAUUUAAAUAGAUGAUAAGAUUGAAAAUAGUUGUGAAGGUAAAAUUACUUAUUAUAAUAAUAAAAUUAAAAUUAAUGAUGGGAUAUAAGUUUAAAUAUAAAAGCAAAUACAAUGAUUAGAUAAAAUUAUAUAAAAAUAAAAAUGAUAAUUAAAGAUAUUAUAUUAAAAUUUACAUAUAAUAUAAAUUUUAAAUUAUUUAAUAUUUAUAAAAUUAAUAAAUUAUUUUAAAAAAUUAUUAAAGUAAUUUUAUAUCAAAUAAUUAUUUAUUAAUAAAUAAAUAAAAAUUAUUUACUAAUUUUAUUAAAUAAUAAUAAAAUUUAUUUAUUAAUUUAUUAUAUAAUAGUAAAUUUUAAUUUUAUAUUAAAUUAACACAACUACUUUGUAAUUUUUAAAUAAAAAUCAGGUAAAAAAAUAAAAAUAAAAAGUGGUUAACAAAGUAUGGAUUUAAGAAGAAAAUAUAUAUAUAUUUGGAUUACAGUCGUGGGUGACCCAAGUUUUCAUGGUAAUCUUACCGCACCGGGGGCUGUUGAAAUCCAAACGCACCGCUAAUCAUGUUAGAAAGAGGAAAGCACGCAAAUUGUGGGUCCAGUCAAAAGGGAAAAGUAAUAAUAAUAAUAAUAAUAAUAAUAAAAUAGAAAAAGCGCGUCCGAGUGCAACGGAAGUGGGGGCCCUCACCACCAUUCUUCAUUUACGUGGGGCCAGGGUUGACAGUUUGUCCUCCCCUUAAUCUUCCCGCCAAUACUCAUCAAACACUAAUUAGUAAUUAAUUAAUUAAUUAUACUUUUUUGUGGACCCCUCCCAAACCCCCGAAUUAAACACCUCAAAAAAUGGCAAAUUUUAUUAUGACCCUUAAAAUAAAACAAAGAAAGAAAAAAAGAAAAAAAAAAUUUUGCGGAACAGAAAGUAAAAACAGAAACACAGUUCGCGGGGGUGGCUGGUGGGGGCUUCACGCUCCAGCAACGGUAAAAAAAAAAAAAAAGAGAAAGGAAAGGGGAGAAAAACAAGAAAAUCUCUGGAAAAUUUUGUAAGAAAAUAAAACAAAACUUGAAGCUCCCCAUUGCAGAGAGCGAGAGAGAGACCAAAGAUGGUCGAAGAGAAGGAAUUACCGCUCUGAGAUCAUCCUGUGAAAAAGGGCAGCAAUAGAAAAAAAUUUAUGGGAUUUUUUAUUUCAGUUUUGUUAUUUCAAAUUCCAAAUUUUUACAUAUUUUUUUCUUUGCUGCCUUUUUGAGUCUCUAUCAGAAGCCUCCUCUCCACCACCACCCCCACCAGUCAACAAACAAUCCUACUUUUUUGUACUUUUCAUUCGUUCAGACAAAAUCCCAAUAUUACCAUUGCAACAAUAGCGUCAAAGAAACGAAAAAGUUUUGAUUUUGUGCACCCUUGAUGGUAAUUUCAACUUGCCCUUUAUUGUUUUGGAGACGCUUUUGCUUUUCUUGUAUUGCUUUCUCUCGAGGUCAUUCUGUUGCUAACAUUUCUUUAUUUUCGUUUUGUAUGUUUCUUUUUUUUUUUUUUUGUCAGAUUCUUUGGAGAUUGAAAGGAGAAGUUAAGUUCCAGCUGUUGAUAAUUCACAUGCACUUGUCAAAAAGGGUGUUGUAAGAUCAAAUAGAAAAACAGAAAAAAUGAGAGAACCUGAUGUGAUCAUCACCAAAGGCGGUGAAUUUACGUUUCUUUGUAAUAUAGUUUUGUAGUAAAAAGAAAAAAAAAAAAAAAUCAUUGUUCCACGUUUUCUUGUAAAACAAAGCGAACGUAGAGAUUGUUUUGUUAUUGUUGUUGGCGGUGUUGUUUCGUGUUGUAGAGUGAGUUUGAAAGAGGGGGUGCUUUUGUAUUAGGAAAACCUGGCGAUUUUGUGUAGCGCCCUGGCUGUUGGCGGAUAUCUUUGCUACCUCCACCACUGCAGCAUUUAGCUUAUCAAGCAAUGGGGGGUAGAUGGAAUGCAAUUGGAUUUCAUUUGUUAAGCUUCUUGUUCUCGAUCCCAAGUUUCAUGAUUCGAGAGUCUUUGGCUAUUAACUCUGAUGGUAAUUCCUUCUUCUGGUAUUUCUGUUUUAUUCUUUGGUUUUUUUUUUUUUUUACAAUGCUGUUUGAUUUAAUUAUUUGUUUUCUUUUUUUAACUUGUUUCUCUGAUUUUAAACGGAUUUGGAGAUGCAGGUUUAGCUUUGUUAGAAUUGCGAGCGAGAAUUGAAUCUGAUCCUUAUGGUGCGUUGGCAAAUUGGAAUUCCAACGACAGCACACCAUGUAUGUGGUUGGGAGUUCAUUGUGUCGACAGUAAAGUGCAAAUGCUGUGAGUCCUGCUAUGUUCCUGUAUACUCAUUAAUGAAAAUACAUUUGUUUAGGAGAAGAAUCCUUGCUAUGUUCCUCAUUUGAUAGGUAAUUGAAAUUUAGUUUCUGAAUGGUCUCACAAAGAGAGUGUUGAUCUUUAAUUGAAGAUUUCUUUUUUUUUUUUUUUAGAAGUUCUUUAUGGUGUAAACUGUGAAGGAUGAAUCCUCUGAUGUCUUUUUUGUUGUUUGCUUUUAGGGAUUUGAGUGCCCUUUCUUUGAAAGGAACAUUGGCGCCUGAGCUGGGGAAAUUAAGUGACUUAAGAUCACUGUAAGCACUCACAAUUUGCUGCGAAAUGAGUGGAUUUUAAAAAUUUUCCCCCUGAGACUCUUCAUCUGCUUUAGCUUGUAUUUCUUCUUGCAAGGCCAAAAAUCCUGAUAAAAAUCAGCAAUAUCUGAUAUUGUGAUUAUCAAUUACUACUAGGUCCCAAUAUAUUAUCUGAAACAAAGAUCUGCCAUAUCUUUCACAUUUUACUUCUUGUUUAUUGGUUGUAUUCAUCAUCAUUCUCGGAUAAACCCUGGUUUUUAUACAUUGCAACAGAUUAACUUACUGUUUGAAUUCAAGGAAUCCUGUAAAUGAGAGGCACUAUCUGUAGGUCUUAAUAUGCAGCAUCAUAUUUGGUAAUAUUUUUAGUGCUUGCUUAACCUAACUGAACUUUCUGGAUCUUUUUCUUGCUGUCUAUGUUAACAGUGAGCUCUAUAAAAACCAUUUCUCUGGUGCCAUUCCAAAGGAGUUCGGAGAGCUUACAAAGCUCGAGCUAUUGGAUUUGAGGGAAAAUAACUUGGGUGGAACAAUUCCAGCUGAGAUAGGCAAAAUGCUGUCUCUAAAACGCUUGUAAGUUCACUUUUGUAAAUUUAUGCUGUGCAUAAUGCUUUUUUCUCUGUGUUACUUUUAACUAAAUUACCUUCCACCUUAGGUUAAUUUGUGACAACAAAUUUGAGGGCAGCAUUCCUUCAGAUCUUGGCAGGCUAAACAUGCUCUCUGAACUGCGGUUUGAUGAAAAUCUUAAAUUGAUAUUGGCUACUGGAAUUUGCCAUGUAAAUAGAAAGUUUGGACUAUGGUAAGAGCAUACUCAUUGCAGCGGAAUUGAUAUUACUAUGUUUUGGUCAAACCCCUUCCCUUAUUCUGUAACCUAUACUUAUCCACCCUCAUCGCAAGGAUGCAUUCUAAAGAACCAUCAGAACUCUUAGCCCAUUAGCUCUUUGUUGACCUUAUGAAUAUGGCAUAACUUCAUAAUUGCCUGGGCUAGGGUUAAGUUAGGAGAGGAUAUAUGUUUCAUAAAGCAGAUUGAUUUUUGAGGUUCAUUUGCUUAAAUUUCUUUAAAUUCCUAGUUUUUAAAGUCUAAUUGCAACAUGAAAUCAAGGGCGGGCAUCAGUUUCCUUUAAAACCAUUUAAUAUGCCUCUCGAAUCACUGAGAGCACAAAUCCUCUGAUAAUCAAAAGAGUGCUUCAAAUGACUUGCUUGACUUUUAGCCUUAUGGAUGAUAAAGAAUCUAUUCAAUUAAUUAGAUACUCUACAUCUUUGGCUCAUAUUCACAACUGAACUGUUAAUUCUAGUGCUUAUAUCUAUUCUGGGAUUCAUGGAGUCACUCAUUUCUCUGCCUCAUUCUAGUGUUGAAACUAUGGAGUCAGGAUGGACCAAAAAAUAAAUUUCAUGUGAGAAAUCAGUUUGUAAACAUAGACAGAUAACAAUUGUUUGAUAUUUCUAUGAAGCAAUUUGAAUUAGUAAGUUUUGCUAGGAUAAGCUUCAGCAUAAGGUCAUAGCAAACUAUGCAGAAUGAUGGUCCCAACAUAUUCUCUGAAUUAGGUUCUGCUAGCUUAGAAUUAUUACAAAGUCCUAUUUUCUUCUAAAAUACAUUGAACUUGAUUGUACAAAAAGUUAUUCAAAAUUUUGCUUCGAAUAUGUGGCAUUUUGGAGCUUAAUAUGCUUCAUUUUAUAGCACGGUUUCUUUUUUACUCAUUAAUUAGACUUAUCAAGAGUUCUAGCCCUCUAGUAUCCUAAUUACUUAUUACUUAAGUUGACAGCAUAUGGCAGAGUGGUUUGAAACAACUGAACAGAACAGGAUCAUUGUUCAUCCCAAUUAAAGGAGCUCUUAUACGUUACCACAAUGCCUUGCCAUUACCAUGGUAUGAACUUAUCAUAUAUCUUUUCACUGUCCUAUUUUUAUUGUUGGUUAUGUUAUUUUGGUUUUUAAAAUCAUCUUGUUCUCUUUGUUUACAUGAUUUACCUUCUUAUUAGGUUCAAGUUGCAAAAAGAUUCUCUGGCUGAGCAUAAUGAUAGCUUCAGCGGUGAUGUGCCUGGUGAGUAGAACAAUGACAAAAUCUCAGUCCAUUGGACUACAAAGUAUGGCUUGUGGGAAACAAUGACAUUAUUUUUCUUAAGUAGGUUCAUCUGAGCAACAAAUGGCCCAUAACAUAGGGAAUCUUGUCCCUUUUGCACGUCGUAGGCUGCUUGAGCAGUUGAAAAACCUCCCAGCUGCAUCUGCUGCUGCUGUGUCUUCAACUGAACAGAUCAUUUCUAUCCCAACUACCAGAAGUAGUGGGACCUUCCCCGCUGUGCCACAAGGAGCAAAGAAACAGUCUCCUGCACCACCACCAUUGAUUGAUCCUCCUCUUCCAGCGACUAAUUCAAAGCCUGCUGACCAGUCAUCCCAAACGUCUAAUGCAGAUUCAACUGCUCAACAACCUUCUGCUUCUGGGGAUUUAUGGAAAUAUCUUAUCUCCAUUCCCUGUGUGGUCCUCUUGCUUGCAGUUGUGGCCACGGUUAUGAUGUGUAGGAAACGAGCAGCAAAAUCCAUAGGUCCCUGGAAAACUGGACUAAGUGGACAGCUGCAGAAAGCUUUUGUUACAGGUAAUUGUCAAAUAUUUUGUUUGAUUAUGUUUCAACAACCAAAUGAUUUGUCUAGAUGAACUGUUGGUUGGUAGACAUGAUUAAUUUUGCUAGAUGAUCAAGUUACUCUUCACUGUGACACUACAUUGUGUAUGCUGAUAAGAUAAUUCAAAUGUAUUAUUCCUUGGAAAUUGCAUAUUUUUAAACAUUCAGAUUUUUAUUACAUAAAGCAGGGUUUGAAAUGGUAGGAAUUAGCAUGCUAAAACAAAAGAUUCUUAAAAUAUUCUGUCAAUUGACAGAAACUUAAAUGUUCAUAUUCGGUACAUUUGAUGAUGGCCCCAGUUAUAUUACUUUCUGAAUUUGGCAAAUGGAGACUUCACUUUCUGCUCUGUGAAACAUAUGGCAGGGUAAUUGGAUUUUCAUUACUUGUCCAGUGUCUAAUAUCCCUGCUACAUAUCAGUUGAUGUUGCAAAUUUUAAUUUACUUAGCAUUAGGUGGCUUGAUGUGAGAUAAUUUCCAGACCAGUUCGAAUUUAUUGGCAUGACUCUUGUAUUAUUUUUGUUUAAUGCAGAAAAGCCUUAAUUUUCAGUUUUUUCAAAAUGCAGGGGUGCCUAAGCUAAACCGAUCAGAACUGGAAACAGCCUGUGAGGAAUUUAGCAAUAUAAUUGACACAAUUGACGGUUGUAAAAUGUAUAAAGGGACACUUUCCAGUGGGGUUGAGAUUGCUGUGGCAUCAGUCAGCGUUUCAUCUUUAAAAGAGUGGUCAAAGAACUCAGAGAUGGCCUAUCGAAGAAAGGUUUAAUGUUUUCACAGUCACGACAUAUAAACGUGACAAUUGGUGCCCAUAACAGAAAUCAAUUUUAUUCUUUUAUAUCUCUUGAUUUUUACCCAUUUUUUAAUCUAUUGUUAUAUUGGAACUCACUGUAGAUUGAUAAAUUGUCACGAAUUAACCAUAAGAACUUUGUCAACCUUAUUGGCUACUGCGAGGAGGGUGAACCUUUCAGCAGGAUGAUGGUCUUUGAAUAUGCUCCGAAUGGAACCAUUUUUGAGCAUCUGCAUGGUAAUAUUAUCACUUGCAUGCGUAUUUCCUGGUAAAUAUUUUAUUCAAUGUUGACUCUUUGAGAGCUUAGAUAUUUACUUUUGUUCUCAGUUAAAGAAAUGGAACAUCUUGAUUGGAAUGCAAGGUUGAGAAUCAUCAUGGGUGUAGCAUACUGUCUUCAGUAUAUGCACCAUGAUCUGAAUCCUCCUGUAGCUCAUCCAAAUUUAUGUUCAACUGCUAUCUUUCUAACAGAUGAUUAUGCUGCAAAGGUACGCCAAUUUCUGUAUAAUUUGGCUUCAUUAAGUUCUUAUCAUUAUAAAACUCACAUUCUCUUUCCUCAUCUUUUACUUUUGCAGGUUGCGGAAAUUGAUAGUAUACGGGCUGCACCUAAGUCAAAAACCUCAGGUGAUGAUGAAUCUCAGCAUUCUGAAUUGCCACCUUUUGUUGAUCCAGAAGUGAAUGUCUACAGUUUUGGCAUAUUGUUACUUGAAAUCAUUUCUGGAAAGCUUCCUUACUCGGAUGAGCAAGGGCCUCUUGAGAAAUGGGUAUGUUUAGGAUGAUACCUAAUGACCUAAUAUUUUCAUAGUGCGCCCUUAUCUCUUCCUUUUCUAGACUUGUUCUCAAGGCAAAAGCUAACACUCGCCUUGCUUUACAAUAGUUUUUGCAUUUUGGUAAACUAAUAAUCAUGACCGUGGCAGGCCGCUCAAUAUUUGAGUGAUAGACGGAGUAUCAGCUACAUGAUUGAUCCAACCCUCAAAUCUUUCAAAAAUGAUGAGCUUGAUGUAAUCUGCGAGGUUAUACAAGAGUGCAUCCAAACAGAUCCAAGACAAAGACCAACAAUGAAGGAUGUCACUUCCAAAUUGAGGCAAGUGAUUAAUAUCCCACCUGAGCAAGCUACCCCAAGACUUUCCCCCUUGUGGUGGGCGGAACUUGAGAUUUUAUCAAUGGAGGCAAUCUAAUUUUUUUGCUACUCUCUUCUCUGUGUUGUUAGUCAAGUCUCUCUCUUUCUCUUACUUUGUAUCAAAAUGGAAAGGAAUAGCUUUUUCCUCCUUGCCCCCCCCCCCCCCCCCCCAAAAAAAAAAAAAAAGAAAUUGAUUCCUUGCACUCGGUAUCCAAAUCACUUCCUUUUUGGUCACAUUGUUUUCAUAUAUACACAUUCAUCUUAUUAUCCAUUUGUUUAAUAUUCUUCCCCCAUUCAUCCUCAGCACUUCAUUGCAAUAAGAGUGUGUUAUACUCAUUAAUGGGGAUUGUGUACCCAACUGUAAUACAUGUAUAUAUUUUGUGAUGAUAAAGUCUGUGAUGUGAACAACUAACAUAACAACAUAUUAAUUUGUUAACAUUCUUUUUCCUCUUAAAUAUAAUUAGAUGGUUGAGAAUUUUUAGAACUUCUGUCACAGUAUUUGACAUAUGUUAGUCAAGUAAAAUUUUGGGUUUUUUUUUUUUUUUUUUUAUAUAUAUUAGUACCCUGAUUAUUUCUUGGUUUCAGUUUGUUUGUUGUUGGUGAAACCCCCAUGCUCUGUUUGAGCUUGUUUCAACCCUCAGACCCUUAAAAUGUUCAAUUUAUUCAAUCAGUUUAAAUGGGUAGUCGAGAUUUUCAUAACUAAAACUGAAGCAGUGACUGUGUAACCGACAGACGAACAUUUCAAACUGAAUGCAAUGUGUAUUUUGACUAAAUAUGAACCUAUAACAUUGCUGAGCAUUUAAGCACUCAAAGAUGUAAACAUCCCAGCGGAGAUUAACCACUUUCUAGACAUAGCACUUAUCAGAAUCCAGAUGACAUGAUUUUCUUUUCAUUUUUUUUAAUUGAUGGAAAAAGUUGGGGUACAAUAAUUCAACGGCUUUCAAAGAGCAAGCUAAAGAUACACUAGACAUUACGUAUGCAACAGAUUCUGGCUCCUCCGCUGCAAGUUGAUACUUAUUCUAAUUGGCCCCAAAGGGCCAAACCCCUGAACAUGAACUCAUGUUGUGAGAGUUACUGGAAGCUGACCAACGGCCUAAUUGAAUAAGUCUGCUAACGUUUUUAGGCCAGACAAGGAUUUGAAGUUGUUAAACUAAAGUAUCAACACCAGUCCAGAGUUCAUCCUGAUUUAAGGCCCACAUGCCACAGAAUGAUAUGUGCAUGUUCUUAAUUACCAUACGGGCGAAAUAGCCAAAAAAAAAAAAAAUCUUUGGUUUUUCAGAUAUGUUAGUUUAAAUUCUGAUAUCAAAAUGAGAUAGCUAAUCUUAUCUCCCAUGUAUCUUGUAUAUAUGCAUUGAUGUUUAAUGAAAAAAGUUUAGCUUGGCAGUAGAGCUGAAUCCUCAGACAGGCUUUUAUUAUUAGGGCAUUAAUCUUCUGCAGCAAGCAUGGACAGAUGAGUUGCAAAUUCAGGACCAAGUUUGGCAACCUAUUCAAACCAAGAAUAUCCCCUGCUUCAAGCUCAUGAAUUCCUACUUUUGAAGAAAGAAACCUCUUCAAUUUUGGCAAGUGAUUUGAAUUGUCACUAACAAUAAAGGAAUUUAUCCAAUCCAUGAGAAAACCUCACAAACAAAAACACGAAGGCCAGGGAUGCAGCUCUUCUUUUUCCCCAGUAGGCCCGAAAGAGCACAACUGGAAAUCAUAUCUGCAUCAGUUGGUAUUUAGUAGCGCUUUCAGAUGUCACGAAUUCUCCUUUCAAUUGCAAGACUGUAGUCGCCAGCACAAGCCAAGUGGUCAAACUUUGGCUACAUUGCUCUCUGUAAGCCCCAAGGACUCAUUGUCUUAUUGAGAAGACCAUGAACUCACCCAUACCUUGCUGAAUCCUGCCUGCUUCCACCAAAACUCCAAUCGCAGCUAUCAAUCCUUUUUCUCUAAUCUCAUGAACUAAGUUGAGUUACCGAGAAAUCAAAUUUACGGGACAGGCAACUUGAUCAAGCAUGCAAAGGGGAGCAACUAUGAAGGGGUGUCCCGCUCACAUUGCAAGAAAAACAAAUCUAACGCUAUCUGAAAAAGACAAAUUAAAUGGAAAAUCUAGACUUAAAGAUUUUUUAUUGAGAUGGCAAAAAGCACCAAAAGUGACAUUUUUGUUAAGUUCAAUCCUUCAUGGGUUUUGGCUGAGAAAAAAACCGAAAUGCAAAAAAAAUGAUUAACAAAGUCAAUAUUUUCAUUAGAAAAAUGUUAACAAAAGAUGUGUCCAGAAUUCAAACCAAAAAAGGUUAAAAAUUCCAAUGAAUUUUCAAACCAGGAUGCUGACUUUCACUCAUUUCUGAUCCACCUGUCUCUCUUUCAUUCAACGUUGUCCAUUAAAAAGAAAAAAUGACUCUGUACUAAGAAAAUAACACAGGGGAAAAGCUGCUUUCAAGUGGGCCGAUGUGUGUCAUUUCUAGUGUAGAUGGCCCAUUAAUAUUUAGCUGUGCUAAUAAAUACUGAUAGCUACAGCAUCCUAUACGUAGAAAAAAUGCAUUUGACCCAGAAAAUUGUCACACCUAAAUAUCCUUCCCAAGUACCUGGCUACUCACGUUGACGAAAUUACUAGCGUGAGGGACUGAAGAAAAGUAGAUGGAGAUGGAAGUAUAACACUAUCUGUCAAGACAUUAAAAGAAAAGAUCGGAAAGUAAAUGUUUUUUACUACAAAUAAGCACAUGCUGUCUACAUUGUUCAGGACUUUAGGCUUCUCUCGGAAUGAAUCUUCGUUGACACAUGAAUCUCUAUGAUUGUCAUAUAAUGGAAGCCAUCAGCCAUUGCCAUAUUGGGUGAGCAAAACAUAGGCCAUUGGCCUGGGUACGGCUAUUUUUGUAUUUUCGGCCAUUGGCCAAUUUUCAAUCCAACACGUAAAAAUCGUUUCAAAAUUCAUUCUCAGGGUUGUUCAAAUUGAAUUGACAUCAAUGAAUUGAUAAUUAAAUGUUAAAGUAAAUUUGUUUCAGUCCUUUUGCAGUCGUUUUCUAUGUUUUCCUUUCAGGCUUGCAGCCAUCCUGUCUUGUAAAAAAGCAACAGGUUAUCAGACAAUAAGUUCGAACUCUACUCUCACAUUUGAGUAAUUUGGAAUGAAAUUAAAUAGCUGAAAUUGGAUGAGAUGUUACCUGUGCAUGGACAGAGAAGAGACAUGAGAUUCAAUUCUUGCAAGAGACUAUAACCAUUUAAGUGCAUGCCGUCAGAUUUUGACAUGUAAUUGUCUUCAUGCCAACAUAGUUUCCUUCCUUGCACACAUUUUUCCAUCAUACUUUAGAUUAUCAAGACUCUUCUGCUUCACUUAUUGAAGGGUCAAUAGUGUGUCCAGAUUGAGCCUGCAUACUUAUCUGGCCAAACUCUUGAACAAUCACAAGAAACUCAUAAAAGCACAACUCAACUAGAUUGUAUUGUAUUUAACAUUACUCAAAAGUGGAAAGACGGGUACAAAUUACUACCAGAAGGCGAAAACUGUUGUGCAUUCAUAUAAAAAACCUCAAAAUCACCGUUCCUACAAAACAGCUGCUUCGCAUUUUACGUGAUUUCAAAUGAGGUUUUAAUUCUUCUAGUUAAAACUAUCAAGCACUAUAUAAACUUGCAGUUAUCAGCAGCAGAUACUAAAAUCAGAUGGUUUAGAAUUUUUAUUUUUCUUUUUUUUUUCUUCUAAAAAAUGAUUAUUCCAAAUCCUCGACUAGUUUCAGAUUUAAGGCUUUUGAAUAAUGGAGUGGUGCUUAUGAUUCAGGUCAUACUCGCCAUAAAAGCAAUUGCUAUUGCAUCAAAAAGCAAACAGGCCAAAGUUGCAUGUAGAAAUUUGGCAACAGAGAUGAAGCAAAAGUUCCAUACUAGAUGCUAAUGCAAAGUAAUGAACUUCUAUCAUACUAACCAGUCAAUUAAAUAAAAAGACUAAAUUAAUGAAAUGUUUCAUUGAUUCAUUUCUCAAUAACAUUGAUGGGAAUAUACAAGCCAGAAAUCCAAUUGCCAAGAUGAAUAGAAAUUUGUAUUCAAUUCUCUGUAACCUAACCUGAACUUCUCGAUACAAAAUAAGAUCAUACAAAUAUAUCAAGUAAUCUAAACCUUCGCCCAAGUAGCACAACAAAAAGAAAGAAAAAAAAAACAUUUUUUAUGAUACAAAAAAAAAAAAAAAGAUUAGAGAGAGAGAAAAGCUUACCCUUUUCCCUUCCUCCUCUCUCUCUCUCUCUCUCUCUCUCUACUCCGUAUCAGAAGGUAAAUAUGAAGUAGCGGCAGCAACUGCAGCAGUAGAUCGUGAUUCCUCCAGCAUCAAAUUCUCUAACCCAGGUUUCAAUUCCCUGUUACAAAACUCCUCAUACUCUCCUCGGUCACCUCCUUUCUUCUUAACUUCCAAAACAACCAAAGAAGGCGUCAACUCGAAUAUCUCAGCAGCAAUGGUCAGUGGCCCUUUUACCCCUUCUCUAGAACCCUCCAAGCUCACCCGACAAUCCUUUUUCCUCACUGUAAAACUAACCACCUUCGCUAUCUCCUCUAAUUUCGAUAUAAUUUUCGAAACCGGCGCCCCUGACACAAACCUUGUCCCUUCCCCUCCUUCCUCAAACAACCCAGAUAAAUUAAACCCCGGGGAAAACGAAAUAAGAUCAAACGCAUUCAAACUAGCUGGCCUCGGCAAUGAAGUAACUUUCCUCCUAGUUUCAGACUCAGCUUCUGAUUCAGAAUACGAUGACUGGUCCGAACACGAUCCCACGUCAUCGUCGUCCUCCUCAACACUGCAAAAUUUAUCAUCUUCAAUGUAAAAUUUAAUAUGUUUAAACCCCUUUUUAAACCAACAGUUCUCCAUGAUUUCCGGAAUCGUUAUUCUCGUUUCCGGAUUCGUCUGCAGAAGCUUCGUAAGUAACCGAAUUAACUCAGGUGAAAACCAUCUCGGACACCUAAACUCACCUUUGUAAAUCUUCUUAUACAUAGCCAUAAUGUUUCGAUCGUGAAACGGUAAAUACCCCGCCAUUAAAACAAACAAAAUUACACCGCAAGACCAGAUAUCUACCUUUGCCGCAUCGUAUCCUUUCCUCGCCAAAACUUCCGGUGCCACGUAAGCAGGGGUCCCGCAAAACGUAUGAAACAAGCCGUCUUGUCGGAUCUGAUCCGAAACCGCGCUCAACCCGAAAUCUGAGACUUUCAAAUCCCCGUUUUCGUCUAGGAGUAGAUUCUCGGGCUUCAAGUCGCGGUGGUAAACGCCGCGGGCGUGACAGAAAUUGACAGCUGAGAUCAAUUGCUGGAAGUAUUUUCUGGCAACGUCUUCUUUUAAUCGGCCUUUAGCAACUUUGUUGAAGAGUUCACCACCACGUACGUAUUCCAUGACGAAAUAGAUCUUAGAUUUGGUAGCCAUAAUUUCGAAGAGUUGUACGAUGUUCGGAUGGCGCACGCGGCGGAGGAUGGCGAUUUCGCGUUUGAUGUGAGCGAUUAAGCCACCUUUGAGGAUUUUUUCCUUGUCGAGUACUUUGAUGGCAACGCUGUCACCGGAUUUGACGUUGCGUGCGUGGUAAACUUUAGCGAAAGUACCAUGCCCGAGGAGUUUCCCGACCUCGUAGCGUCCUAAGAGAAGAGCUUGGCCACCGUUUGCAUCUCUCUUUGCGGUGGCGGUGGCGGCGACUGAGGUGAAAUCCAUUGUCGUGGAGGUUAGGGUUUCGCUAUUUUAGAAAAAAGAAAUUUGAAUGAUUAAUGAUUGGCCUUUUCAAGUAGGAAAUUUGAAUGGUUUUGUGUAUGUAUGUUUUUGGUUGAGAGGUUGAGUGAGUGGUUUUCAAGUAAUUGAAUUCGUUACGGGGUCGGAGAAAAUAGAUGCUUUUAAAUAGAAAGCGAAUAUUCUCUCUGUUUGUUUUCUUUUUAUUAUUAUUUGAUUUGAUUUUUUUUUUUUGUAUGCUAACAACUCUAGGUUUUAUUUUAAUAAAAUAAAUGCUUCAAUUAAAAAUGCAUCGUACGGGAAUAUAAUUCUUUGUUUUUUUUUAAAAAUUAUUUAAUUACCACAAUUUGAAUGAUUAAAAAUCAAUAAUCAUUGCGGAAAUUGUCUACAUUAACAAAGGCUUUGAGGAAUAGCUAGCCUUAUUUUUUUAUAUUACAAAAUAAUAUAAAUAAUUUAAAGAAAUUUUUAUCAAAAUAUUCUUGUAAAAUUUUAUAAAGAGAGUAGAGCGGGAGGAAUCUACGUGGGAAUUAACGACGAGAGGGACACGGUGACCUUUUUCCGUGAAAGCUCAACACACUCGAGAAAGAGAGAGAGCGAUUCAAGUACGUGCAAACGUAACCUUGUCAAGCGUGUAUGGGCCACAGAAAUAGAGGAAAGGAAACAGCCCGCACUUCCUUUUCGCUACCUCCUUCCUUAAUGGUGCUCACGUUCACCACACGUCGGCAUCCCGCAUCAUCCUUAUGAGCUCAGCGUUUUAAUCACCCUUGGAUUUGAGAUGGUUCGUGGGGUGCCACCGUCAACUUGAUAGUCAGUGAUGAUUUAAAAGCGUACCCAAUAAGAUAGCUUUGACUGAAUUUUUUUAAAACAAAGAGGUUGUAAACUUGUAAUUAAAUGAGUAAAAUAAAAAAAAUUUUCCGUCCUCUUAUUUUUUCCCUUUCUCUCUUAAAUCUAAUUGUUUGAUGUUAUAAAUAUAAUUUUUUGAAAAAAAAAAUCAUUUUUAUCAGAUCUUUUGAAAAAGUUGGCUAAUUCUUUUCAAUGAUUUCUUAGAAAUUACACUGUCAACACUUGUGAUUUCGUCAUAAUCCAUCAAAUACGUCAAAAUCUUGUCAGCUUUUCAGAACAAAAUCAAUAUAUGUUCACUAAGGUUUAUAUGAUAAGACAAUUACACUCCACAAAAACAUUUGUGUAACCGUACUUAUUAACACCACAAAUGUUGAAAUAUCAUUGUGCCAUGUAUCGAUCAUUGUGCCAGGAGAUGGUCGCCAAAGUUCUAAUAUAAAACAAACAGACAUGGUUCAUAGGAGUAGAGUUGGUGGGUAAAAAAAAAAAUUUGUAUGAUUGUAAGUGCAAAACUUUUCUUGAUACAGAAUAAUAAUGGAUCGAAAUAUAACUGUAUAAUUACUUCCAGUUCCAGUACUACUUAAAAAUUGGAAAACUCCUCCCUUGUUUUGGAUCUUGGAUUAUAUUAUUAACCUGAUAAUAACCAUUAUGCAAAAUCAAGCACUCAUCAUCAGUCCACCAAAAUUUUUUUCACUAAUUUCAACAGAAAUUAAAAAAUUAAGUAUCAGUUCACCAAAACUUUUUCACUAACUUCAACAAAAUUCGGAAAAUGAAUUAAGUAAAAUACAUGCACUAAUAAAAAAUUGGGUUAAGUAAAAUACAUGCAUUAAUCAAAUUGCAUGGCUUCAAAAAACAACAUAUGUUGAGAGUGGGAUUGGAACCCACGCCCUUUUGGAUCAAAACCUUAAUCUGACGUCUUAGACCAACUCAGCUUUGUUCACUUCUUUCUAAGCAAAAGUGAUAACAAACUUCUGACACAAGGUGGACCCAGGUUGCCAUAUUAUCGUUUGACUUCUCCGGAUAUUACACAAAGCCAAAACAAGCGGCAACGAGGUGGUUUCUCAAAAGCGGCGUUACUGUUGUUUUAAUGUAUAAGAUCAUCAUCCACUCUUUUUUUUUUAAUUGAAACUGAAAAAAAAAAUAAAAAAAUUAAAGAAACUGCCUUACCUUUUUAAUUUUUUCUUUUUCUCUCUUUCAAGCAAAAAAAAAAAAAUUUAAUAUUGAAAUAAAUCUAUAAAUAAAUGCAACCAAAAAAAAAAAAAAAGACAGAAAAACUGAAAACAAAACUCUCUACAGUAAACAAAGAGAGUGAAGGCUGGGAGACGAAAUAAGGCCAGCAAAGUGCCUAAUUUUCAUCUCUCUCGCUUCUUUUGUAGUCUUUCUACAAACUUUUUCUUACUUUCUCUUCUUUUUCUAAAGCAUUUAUGUAUUCUUUAUCCUUAACUCAGUUUCUUUCUAUUUCUUUUCCUUAUUGAUUCAUUGCAUUCAUGCUAAAGUUUUGAGUUGAUAUUUUACUUGUUUUUCUCUGGUUUGACCUUACCUCAUGUUCUUAGUCGUGAUAUUGGGGAUCCUUUUGGAUGGAUUAUUUGGAACACUGACUGGUUCAACAUUCUCUUUGUAGGUAUUGAUGCUUCUUGCUCUGAAAAUUCUCUCUUUAUGCAACUAUACUAUUUCCAGGAAAAAAACAACAGAGAAAAUGUAGGGCUUCUUGGAAGCACUCGUGUUAGAAGCCGUAGAGCCAUUCAAAUCUCAGCUGGCUUUAUGAUAUUCUUCUCGAUAUUAGGUGAGUGACAAUUUCAAAUCUUUCCAUCAUAAAUCAUCAUGAACAAAGAGAGGCAAGGAAAGAGCAAGCCUUCCGGAAAGAAAUAUGUGAUGAUGAUCAUAGACUAUAGUGAUGAAGAAUGAAAUGGAGUUUCAUUGCUGCGAAAGCAUGGCUACCUCUCCCGUCAUCGAUCAUAGGUAUAUUUGACUUGGGUUAUUCAGGUUUAAUCCAAUAUCAAUUCAUUUGUCCUUCCCAUUUAGUAAGAAAUAGUUAAUAAAUUAAAGAAUUUGUUUGGUGUAAUGUUAAAAAAGGGCUUGCAGCUUUGAACAGUGUUUGCAAAAGUAAGUUUGCAAAGAACUAUGAAAAUCAGAUGUAGCAAUGAUCUUUGAAGAAUGACAAUAUCUAAAAUCAAAUAUAAUUCUUCUCUCGGAAGGAUUAAACGUGUUGCUAAUGGGAAAAAUUCAUUAAAAUAGUCGGACAAAACGAAUACGUAAGGCAUUUUUAUUUGCAAUCUAAUAAAAUUACACUGAUGAAAUAUUAUUGAAUAAUCAUAAACAUAAAAAUUGGAAAGAACAACCCACCCUUUUGACCUAGUGAACGAGAUUCAGGUUGACCAAAAGAAAGAAUAUUAACACUUGGGAGUCAAACGAAUGAAGCAAUAAUGAACAUAAUAAAAGAAUAAAAAAAAGGAAUGAAGUGAUGCCGAUACCAUACUGUUCCAGGGUUUUGUUUGAAUAAAAUGGCAUUUCUGGCCUUUGAUUUUCACAUGGCCUGGUAAUCCUGUAAAAGGUCGAACUCAGCCAUCCUACUGAUAUCUGCACAUGCAUUCUGGGCACCUAGGCUGUCGAUAAAUACUUCGACCAGGACCCCUCACCCGCACUCUUUGACCUUCCUUGAUCAUCUUUCUUACUCUAUCUUCAAAACUAUUCCAUCCUAUGGUGCUAUUCUCUAACAAAAUUGCGGCUAACCUCUUCUUGUUAGGCCGCAAGGUUGGAGCAUGUCCAUUACCAUAGUAAGUUCGGAAUCCAGAUACCAGGGAUGACAGUUGGCUUCCAGAGUCUGUCAUGGCAAAGACAUCUGAAGUUGCACAAGCAAUAAAGUCUAACGCUGCUAGCUGCAUUCAAGGCAUUUUUUUUUGCCAUGUUAUUGAAUAGGAGGAUCAAAUACUGCUUAGAGAAGCUUUCUUUUUGCAUUUCUAAGUUAAAAAUCUUCCCCCAAAAAAAUGUUGUUUAAAACACGUAGAAUUCUGGCUGAAAAAAUGUUACAAUUAUUAAAAGAAAUUGUCUAAUCCUAAAAUACCUGAGAAGAGAAAUUUCUGAAGGGAGCAAGUUCACUGGAUGUGAGCAGUGUUUCCUUGGUGACCAAAUUGGGGUACAAACUGGUAAAGGGAUGCAUCCUGGAACUUCCCCCAUAUAUCUGAGAUCCUGCAAGAUAGAUAUAGGUUUCACGCUUAAAACCAAAAGCAGCAAGAACAAGUGCUGCUUCUUCAGGUGUCAAUGGGCAUCUUCCCAACUUCUUCAACUCCACUGGGGAAACAGGCCUACAUGCAUCAAUGGUAGAAAGAACAGAUCAACCAAAGUCAAAUAUGUGCUUGAAAACAGCAUCGAGUAAAACUACAAUGCCAGAAGGCAGGUAAGGCCAUACUUCGUGUUCUUUAAGCGUUCGAUGAGCAGAGGAAAAUGGACCUCUCUGUAGGCUUCAAGUUCGUUUUUCUCGUAUGCUCCACCUCCAAAAUCGCAUAGGGAGUAUGCCACCAUAUCCUCUUCAAAUCUCAAGUGUAAGGCAAGAUAUCUGGAUGGGCCUCUUCUGGCAGUGUGCUCUUUGGAGGAAAUACUAGGUGUGAAAUCUCCAAGCAGGUGUUUAUCCAACUGACUCUGAGCAGCAUAAUAUUUCCUUAUCCUUUUGAUUAAUAGUGAACCAACUUGUCGAAUUUUUGGCACAAAUUUUAAUGCAUGGAAGUUACAUUUACACCUCAAUCUCUGCAAUGGAGCAAAGCAUGUAAAUAUAACUUCUUGAAAAUGAUUAUCAGUGAGUUCUUUUCCAGAUUAUCAAUUCUAAUAUUGCAUGCUCAUUAGUGGAGAAUGGUAUAUAAAGUGAUGCUUUAAUGGCUCCAACAAAUUUCAAUGCCGUAAUUCACUUGUUUGAAAAUUUGAAAAAUUGAGGGAUAAUAAUAAUAUGAUCAAUUGAGUUUUGCUCUUGGUUUCUUUACUUGUUUAUUCUUUGGAACAUAGACGAGAAUGAAAGGUAAUGGACACUCAAGAAGUAUGCCUGUGGAGAAAAGGGUGGGGGGUAUAUAGAAGAUUCUGAAGGUUUUAUGCAUGGGAGAUACCCCCUGAGAUGGAAGUCCUAUCGUACGAUUAUCUAUCCUACAAUGGUUAAAUGUGCAAGGGAUGUCACAGACCUGGAGGUCAGGAGGCAAAGGAUCAAAGCCAAGUCGAUUUCCAAAUCCAAGGAAGUGAACAACUCUGUUCUGCACAAGGAGGGGAAGCACACUGCUGAUAUAAUCAUUCGGCUUUGCUUCCUUCUCGAUAUCUGCAUCAGUAAUCUGUUUUUGAGGUCAACAGAAAAAGAAAAACAAGGUUAGAGGUUUCAGAUUUUAGAUUUUAGAUUUUCCUUGAGAAAUGAAGACCAGCUUUCAAUGCAAUGUAGAUAGAAGACAACAUACUAGGCUACCAAUGGCUUCAAUAUCUAAGGACUUCAAAUGAGGAGGAAUUUCCUUCACAAUAUCUACAUCGUCCUUCAAGAUGCGCUUAAAAUAGUCCUCUUGGUAGAUGUCACCAAAUUGGCUGCAUUUCCAUUGAAAAUCACUAUAAGUAAUAUUGUUCAUUACAAAAUAUCAGUAUAUGGCAGAAGAAAAUUUGAUUGGCCAAGUUUUAUCUUCAAGAUACAAAUAUCAUAGUGUUUUUUUGGAGAGACAACAUCAUAGUUGACAAACAUUCCCACAAAAACAAAAUGGGAUGACAAAAUUAAAAAUUCACAGAACCAGAAGAUAACUUAUACUGAAUGAGACUUGAUUUCAGACCUAGGAUCCUUCCAUACAUUGCUGUAAAGAAAUUUAGGAAGAACCAGAGUCGCAUUAAGUAGAGAUGCCACGGCAACUGCAUUGCAAAUCUGCGGACAACAACAUCAACAACCAUUUACAAUGGAAGUAAAAGCAAUAAUAAUGAAGCUGAAGAAGGAAGAUCAAAAAGAGAUUGUUUCCAUAAACAUGUUGCAAAGUGCUUGUAAACAACUGGAGUCUUGCAAAAUGAAAGCAGAAUGCCUUUGUUCAUAUAAAGCCUUAGUUUUGGUAUCAUCAUAGCCAUGUGGUCCGAAAAGCUAUUGGCGAUUUGCUGGGGAUUCCACUUAUUGACAGAUAAUUCUAUCUUUGGAGAACUGACUGUUGAGUUUAUUCACUGAAAUCAACAUUGAACUUUCCUAUUGAAUAAUGAAAAGAAGAUCAAAAGGCAAAUUGGACACUUACAGCUACUCGUUGUUGAUUCAGGCCACCAUUUGCACUGACCAUUAUGUAGCCGUUACUUUUUUCUGGCUUCCCUGUCUCAACGACGAAAGUGAUAGGACUUAAUCAUAACAACUUGUUAUUAUUCAGCUUCACAUUAUUGGCCAAAGACUAUAUUACACUGUCAUUAUUAGUUACCAGACACUAUAUUUUGCUAUAUUGAUAAAGUCCAAAGCAAGGAAAAACCUGGGCUUGUUGGAUAUUUUAUAUCUGCACAAGGUUUCCAUUUGGAUGCUUGCCGAUAUGGUUCCUCCCAAAAAUUCAAAGGGUCUUGCUUAAACUCCUUCUGAAUUCAACGAAGAUUUUCAAAAUUUAGUGAAAAAUGAACUCAUCUAGUUUCUUUUUUUUUUUCCUGGUGCUGUAAAAAUGUUAAUGUGCCUAAUGUACAAGUUAAGAAGCAUACCUCUGCAAGAGCACUGGAAGCCAAAUUUAGAAGCCUGCCAUACAUCUGAACCGUUGGUCUUUCUUCAUGAAUAUAGGCAACAUUAUCCUCCUUCAUACAUGCAGUGAAGGCCAUACCAACUAAUUGGUGUCAAUUCAGCAUUCAUCCCGUAAAUUUGAAACAAUAAUUAAUAACAAUUUGAAUGUAUUUUAGCUUUCAAUCGAUGUUUCAAUACAAACAAACCACCUACUUCAGAAAUACAUUUUAAAACAAGGAAGAAAAAAAAUAAAAUUAAUGGUAAAUCAAAUUGAUUGAAGCAAGAUAUAGAGUUGGAACUUGGAAGCCUUUCUAGCUGAAUUACAGAGAAUUUUUCCAUCUGAAAUGGAAUUGGAUUACACUCCAUGUCCAUCCCAGAUCCCAGAAAGUAAAUCAAAUAGAUUCACUGAGACCAGAACAUUGAUUCUUAACAACAUAAUUCUAAACCUGAUGAUACUAAUUCAUCAGUCUCUUUAACUUCCAAAUUACAACUCCGGCAUAGAAAUGAUAAGAACUAAUUAAAGGAAAACACAUGAUUCUAUGAUUACAAAUUAAUUCUAAAUUAUAAUCAUACCUCACGACGAGUGGAGUUUCUUGUAGUUGAACUGCCCUGAAUGUUUAUUGAACCAAAAAUUGACACCACCAGAGAAUCAAGCAAGAAUAGGUAAGCUAUCAACAAAAGCAUAAAAGCAAUGGACUUCACAUUCCGGCGAAACCAUGUAUGCCUUGUCCCAACAUAAGCACCCUUGCAAGGAUUAAACUUUCCGGAGUCAUCUUUCAAACUAUGAAGCAAUACUACUUCGGAAUUCCAAUAAUUAUCUCCCCCUAAUAUUCUCCUUCCAAUAGAAGGAACACUGGCCUCCGAAGAAUCUGAACUUCUAAUAUGAUAAUCUUUCAUCCUGAAAAGUGAGUUUGUAUUCUUCGACAUGGGACGUGGGCUUCUUGGGGAUCCUUGCUUUCCCAUCGUAUAACCACAACUUAACUCUCUCUCAACUGUGCUUCAUGGACUAUAAUUUUUGGAACAGAAGCACCGCCCUUCAGUUCUUAUCUUUGACAUGACUAAAAAACCUGGAUUUGAAACUAAUUUUCAGACGAAAAAAACGGGGAAACUCUUACAAUCCUGUACUAUUUUUCAUGUGUCUUUCUCUAACAGAGACUCGCCAACAAAUAUGACCUUGUUUUGUCAUCAACUAAUUCAGUUUCAGGUGUUGGUGAAAGAAGAACUAACAUAAAAAAAUGGGAAAAAAGUUGGUGUAUACUGUAUAGUAGAUAAAAUAAGAACGUCGGAGAAGAUGAAAGAAUUCAAAGAAACGUCAAUAAGUAGGUGAUAGUGCGUUAUAAGCGUAGCAAGAGUGAAACGCAAGGCAGAUUGGUCGACGAAAUCGAACUCAACUUAACUGCACUUUUAAAACAUCUGCCUUGCAAUGCAAGAAUCAAAUCGUAACAGCUACUUCCCACCAAACAUAAGACAAGACAACUGUGGGUUUUUUUUUUUGCUUUCUUUGUGCUUUCAUACGUUGAAGGUCGAGAUGCUAGAAAAAAUAGCACAACAAAAACAAAAAAACGCUGAAGAAAAAACCACGUUGGGGUUCUAUUUGGUGCUUGAGUUUGGCGGGCCAUCUUAACGAACAAAAACCGCUGGAAUUAUACAGGUAGUAGUGAGAUUCCAUUGACUUAGGCUUACAAUAGGCCCAACCUUUCAUUGAUCUUGAUGGCUAGAUCCAAAUGCCAUGUUUAUCAAGAUCUUGGGUUCAACUGUUCAAGGGCUAUCAGAAACAUCGUAAGAAAAGAAGAAGAAGAAUCGAUGAAAGCCCAAGAAACGGAAAAGUUACGAUAGGCCCAAAGCAUAAAAUUUAUGGAAGGCUUAAAGAUAGGUUUAUGCUACGUAAAGCUUAGCCCAACAGGGCGUUCAGUACCAAAGGCCAAGGGACAAUAUAAAAGUAAGGAAAAUGAUAGAAAUCCAGUAACAGAAACUGCCAAAUGCCAUCAAAUCAUACACCAAUAAAGUGAGAUGAAAAUUAUAUAUAAAAAAUAGCUGUCCAUCUUUGGUCGGUUUGAAACUUUGAAUUGAAUGGGAGAGCUAAUCUCUGCCUCAUAAUAGCUGAACCAUUCUUCUUAAUUCGAGUCAAUUUGGCGCUUGCAGCUCUCUAUCGAACCACAAAGCCUGGCCUUGAUCGCAAAUUGUUGGUUCUUGAUAAUAUAUUAAUAAGUUGUUGGUUAAAUUAAUAAAAAAUUAUUUUUUCGUUUAAAAAUUUUAAAUUUAAAUUUAAUCGAUAAUUAUUUAUUAAUGAUAUUUUAAAUCCACGAUUUUCAAUCUAAUUAUUUAUCUUAAACGAUGGAUAUGAUAUAUAUAUUAUUAUAAUUUAAAAAAUUAAAUAAUUUAUUUAUCUUAAAUUUAUUUUUUAUAAAAAAAAUCAUAAUGAUUGCAAUGAUAAUAAUAUUUCUUUUUUUAUUCAAUAAUUUAUUUAUCAAUAAAAUCCAAGAUUUAUUAAAAAAAAAAAACAUUAAUAAGUUUUCGUCAAUGACAAGACCAAUAGUUCGACAAGCUUUCGUCGUUCAUGUUUUGUGUCUCAAAAAGGAUAAGGUUAAAACCUAUCAAUCCCACUUUAUUUCAAGAAAAAAAACAAAAGAAAAAACAACAGGAAAAAAAAAAUCCCUCCAAUAGUAACGGUAACGGUAAUGAAUACGAAACCCGAGGGACGAAUCACGGAACGUUAAAGCUCAAAAUAAUUUAUUUAUUAUAAUUAGAUAAGAAUUCAAAGGGCAGAUUGGGAAGUCUACAAACAAAAAGAGGAGCGAAGAAAACGGAAAGUAAAGAGAGAUAGAAGAAAAAAAAACAGAGAAAGGGGAAAAAAGAGGAAGAGAAAAAAAAAAAAAAGGAAAAGGGAAAACAAGGGGAGGGGUGGAAUCACAUGGGCAUUAGUUUGUUGUCUCUCCCCUGGGUCCUCUCUCCUCUUCUCUUCUAAUUAUUCUUCUUCUUGUUCAUCAUCAUCUUCGCUUUUCUUUUUUUUUUUGUUCUUCUAUCGCCAUGAUCUACCGUUACUCUUUCUCCAAUUAGAUCUUUGUUUUUGAUUUUUUGUUUUGUUUUUCUUUUGCUCGACAUGGCUGACGAUAAGGUAAGCUUUAUUUUUUUUUGUUCUUUCAAAAUUUUUUUCUGACAUCAUAAUUUGGAAGUGAAUCUUCGAUUUUUUUAGUUUAAUUUUGGUGAAACUUUUGUUCAUGAAUAUUAUUAACUAAUUUUUUUUUGUUAUUCUGUUUAUUUUUGGGUGUCGAUGGGAUUUAUGAGAUUUGUGGAUUUUAUUUUUAUUUUUGUUUUCCAAUGGUUAUGAAACGCGAAUUUUUUUUUAAUGUAUAUUCUUUUCUUUUUGCUUUUUUACGGCGAUCUUGGUGGUUGAGCUAAUCGGGGAACCCUAGAUGAUGAAAUUUUGCUCUGUAUUUGAUUCGAUCUGUGAUCUCUUGUCUGCAUUUUUCAGUUCUGAGUUUUUUUUUUAAAUUUUUUUAAGAGAACGAAAUCUUAUCAAUAUAUAUUUUUUUGCUUUUAGUCGCUUGAUUUGGCUUUUUAGCUUAGGUGAAAAUUUCUUUGGAUCAGAGUGAACCGUUUAGCUUAAAUUAUUGAAUGGGUUCGAUUAUAAUUUUGAUUUCUUUUCGAACCUGAUUUAUAAUUUUUUUGAGGGAAGGGCUGGGUUUUUUGGAUCUCCAAUUUUUGUGCUCCUUCGAAGUCUCACUCUCUCUUAUCUUGUUUCUUACCAGGAAAUGUCUGCCCCUGUUGUUGAUGGGAACGAUCCGGUCACCGGUCACAUCAUUUCUACAACGAUUGGAGGUAAAAAUGGAGAACCUAAACAGGUAUGUGUUUUCUUGGGUUAUCCUGUUUCAUAGCUGUUCAAAUUCUGGUUUAGCUAUCAAUUAACAUGUGGUUACGAACAAGACAACUAGUUUCUUUUACUUUGGAAUUUCAUGUUUUUGGUUUUUUAUUAUUGUAGACCAUCAGCUAUAUGGCAGAGCGUGUAGUAGGGACAGGAUCAUUCGGGAUUGUUUUCCAGGUAUUAAGCCAUAGUUAGACUGUAGCCAAUGUUACCUUGUUCACGUUUCGCAUGCUGAUGCAUCUUUUCUUUCAGGCAAAAUGCUUGGAAACAGGAGAGACUGUGGCUAUAAAGAAGGUUUUGCAAGAUAGAAGAUAUAAGAAUCGUGAACUGCAAUUGAUGCGUGUCCUGGAUCAUCCGAAUGUGAUUUCCUUGAAGCAUUGUUUCUUUUCCACGACAACAAAAAAUGAGCUUUUCCUUAACUUGGUUAUGGAAUAUGUACCGGAGAGCAUGUAUAGGGUUUUGAAACAUUACAGCAGUGCUAAUCAAAGAAUGCCACUUAUCUAUGUGAAACUUUACACAUACCAGGUAUGCAUGGUAGUCUUUUCCAUGCUUGAUCUCUUCUGUAAAGUUCUUCUUUUUGCUAAUUAGAGGAGGUUUUACAGAUAUUCAGGGGUCUUGCAUACCUCCAUAGUGUUGUUGGAGUUUGCCAUAGGGAUUUGAAGCCUCAAAAUCUUUUGGUAUGCUUUUUUUAUUGAUGAUUUUUGUGGAAUGUCUUGACAAUGUUUCUGAGAUGAUUGUUUGCUCUGUACAGGUUGAUCCUCUGACUCACCAGGUUAAGAUUUGUGAUUUUGGAAGCGCAAAAGUGCUUGUAAGUUGGUCCCCUUUAUAUUAAUUUUCGAAGUGCUCUUCCUUUCAAAUUUAUGACUUAGAUUUUAGUUGAUCAAUUACUUUUGCUCCAAGUGAAGCAUUGUUAUAGGGUCCAUAAGUUUCUAAAACUAAAAAAAAAGGAUUUUAGCUCCGUGUUAUUUGCAUGUUUGAUUCUGAUUGUAACUUCUAAAAUGAUUGUAACUUUUAUUUAGCUGUCCUUUAUGGCCUCUUUGUAGGGGUGAACUGCUGAAGAAGAAAAGGAUUGAAUUAGAUCUAAGAGUAGUAUUAACAUGUUUAUGAUCCUCUUUUGCAUGUCUUUUUCUCUGUAAAUGCUUCAUACUUACUAGUAAUUUACAUGUGAUCAGGUCAAAGGUGAAGCUAACAUUUCAUAUAUAUGUUCUCGUUUCUAUCGGGCUCCAGAACUUAUAUUUGGUGCCACUGAAUACACAACCUCAAUCGAUAUCUGGUCAGCUGGUUGUGUUCUUGCUGAACUUUUGCUGGGCCAGGUUAGCUUUUUCCUUUUUUCCUGAUUUUGAUCCUUCUGAAAAUUUCUAGCAAUAAUUUAGUGUCUCUGCUCAUUGAUACCUAUUUUUUUUUUUUUCGUGUAGCCAUUGUUUCCUGGAGAGAAUGCUGUGGACCAGCUUGUAGAGAUUAUCAAGGUAUGAUUUGCUUAGUGAUGCUUGAAGUUAUACAUUUCUUUGUAUCAUGAGUCUGCUUCUUACAUCUUUUCCUACAGGUCCUUGGUACACCCACUAGGGAAGAAAUUCGCUGCAUGAAUCCCAGUUACACGGAUUUUAGGUUUCCACAGAUUAAAGCGCAUCCAUGGCAUAAGGUUUGCCUUUUAUUGUCGAUAUAUAAAUUUAUAAAUUGCUCACUGAAAUGAGUGGUGUAGAGACGCAUUUUUCGUAAUACCUUCUGGAUAUUUUGCUCAUGAAAUAUUAGCUGAUUUUUGUUUUUCAAAGUUCUUGAAUAUUUAUAGUAGUUUUCAAUGUUUCUUUGCCAAUGUCUCUAAGGGCAGAAAUAUUUGAUUGAUUUUGAGUAAUGCACUGCGUUGUUGUUGUAAUAUAAAUGUAGUGGUCGAUUACCUUGAACUUGACUCUUAUAUGUUUUUUAGGUUUUUCAUAAAAGGAUGCCUCCUGAAGCAAUUGAUCUCGCAUCACGACUGCUGCAAUACUCACCAAGUCUUCGCUGUACAGCUGUGAGUUGCUGGUGUCUCCAUCUUUUGAUUGGUGACAUUUCUAUUUUAGACUUGGAAAAUAUGUACAAUUCUUCAAUUAUCGAUUUGUCUCCCCCAUAUAUUUGUGUGUUAGUGAUAACCGCCCCAAUCUCAUGUUGUUGAUCUGCUCUUUGCUAUGACAGCUUGAAGCAUGUGCACAUCCCUUCUUUGAUGAGCUUCGAGAACCUAAUGCUCGCCUACCAAAUGGGCGACCAUUACCACCACUUUUCGACUUUAAACAGGAAGUAUGUUUCUGAAGUAAACUUCAUUCCCAUUUGCUUUCCAUUUAUAUACAGAUAUAUCUUCAUUGAAUAUUUUAGAUGGGAUUAUUUUCUGGCUAAGCUUUGUUAGUCAUUUGCAAUUUUUUGGUUACAGUUAUGUGGGGCUUCACCGGAGCUUAUUAAUAAGUUGAUUCCUGAACAUGUGAAACGGCAAAUAGGGCUACAACAUUUCAUGCAUCCGGCUGGUACAUAAAACUUUAAAAGUGAUAUAUAAGAUUUGGUAUCUACUAGUUGAUGCGUGACACAAAGGAAGUACUAUCUUUGGAUAACCACCAUAGAUUGAGGCCUGUCCAGCAUCAUUCUCUACUCUUCCAUGGCGCAUACAGUAUCUGGCAGCUGGAUGGCUGCCUUCUCUUGAUCUUUCUACUUUAAUUCUGCCUCGCUUGCUCCUUUAUUCUAUAUGAGUUUUUGUCAAAAUGCCUUUUUUUGUUAUGUACAUGUAACAUGUUUGAUAGUAAAAGAUAGGCUAAGGUGGACAGACCAGAAAGCUGCUAAUGGAGGAAAAGUAGGGAAGUGUAUUUGUUGCUAGAAAGAAAGUCCCUGUUAGAAUGGCCCGAAUAUAAGGGGUGGGCUAGUUGGUUUUUGGGUUUGGUUAAAUGCACUUUUUCUUUGUUUUCAGUUAUUGUGGUGGUUUCUGGUGGGCUGACUUCAAAUUGCAGUCAAUUGUUAUUACUGUUUGUGCAAAGUAAUGUUAUUACUCUCUUUCUA